rnacentral:lncRNA from 1 species
GAGGGAUAUAUAAUUGUGAUGUUUUAGAAAGAAAACUUGAGUUCGCUCGAACCAAAGAGUGUGUUAGAACCUUGUUUAUUUUGUAUCUUUAGCAAAGUGUUAAACCAGGACCUGAUGCAAGCACAUGACCUGCUGUAGUUUCAGUCAUCUACAGUGCUGCAACCUAAUAAGCAGCAGGGUAGUAGAGGCAUGGUAAGUGGCGGCAUGUGGUAUAGCUUGACAUGGGUUCAUACGGUGCACGUCCUAGUACUGCCUGCUGUAUCGACAGCAUGGCUGUAAAAGGGGUGAGGUGCAUUUGUGCAACAACCUAACCCAACUGAAAGAAUAGAAAAAAACGGAAGGCUCCCAAGAAGGAAUGCUUGGGAUUUUAUCUCCGACGAGUUUUUUUCAAUCUCUUUGUGUAUCCAUUGGAGUUCACCGUGCAAACAAUCUAGUUGGACAUUACGUACUACUGCAUGUUGAUAGAAAUAGAAAUCCAAAAGGGGUGCUUCGUUUUUAGUCAAAGUUUAACCAUGCACGUAAAAGCUGAACCAAAAUGUGAUGUGUAGUCAUUCAUAUGUAUGUACAAUUAAUUGCAAGUGCUGAUCUAGGGGUAGAGAGGGGAAAGAGGGGUAGCUCACCACGUAUGCCCGCAAGGCUAGGAGGGGAGGGGGAAGUAGCCAUCAGUUAUCCCCUCCAUGCGCUAGAGGAGAGAGGAGGCAGGUGCGAAGAGGGAUGGUGGCAUGCUCCUCCACCUCCUCUGGUAAAGAGGGCUCGUCGGGGAAGGACGCGUUGAGGAGGAGGUUUCUUGCUGCUAGUGUCGAGGAUGCUCUCAAAGUAGAUCUUGAGCGAGGCACUGCAGUGCUUCCUCAACUCUCUCCACAGGGUCCCUGUCUUCCUCCAGCGUCACCACCCCUUGCUCCGGCUCUGGCGAGUUAGGAGCAACAGCAAUUAACAACAGUAUAACUUUCUGUUCACCUUGUACAUACAACUUUGACAUGAAAAAAAAAAUAUGAAGUAGGAAAUUUCCUUGCUAUUUCCAGUGAAAAGAGAUCUAAGAGGCCCAAAAACAGGGGUGUUGUACUUCGAAAUUGCGACAUCUGAAUAACUGACUUUAGCAGGUUGUCAUUUUCAGGGGAAAUCUGGCAAAAUUUUAGUCGACAUCUUAACAACUGAAUUGAGCAAACAUUUAUGUUUCUGUGCCUUUUUCAGUGCGAGGAGCAGAGCUUUUUUCUUCCGGCGAGAGUUCCAGCUGAACUUGACUGAAUCAAAAGAAGCACAGUGGAACGCUUAUAUUAUAAAAUGUCAAUUAGCGUUUGUCGUGUCUGAUUGCCUUCUUGCUUGUGGAGCUGAACAACGACCGGUGACAAUUUCAAAGGAACGGGCAGAGACAGAGGAUAGGAGCAGAGAAGAGAGAAGGUACCCUGCAGCGGGUACUCCGGGUAGAACAUGGGCCGCUCCGGGAUCACCGUGUGCUGCAGCAUCUGCACGUCCACCAGAAUCGCGCUGAGCGCAACAGAAGCAAGGGAACCGCCGGAUAAAAAGGGAAUUUGGGAGGGAGGGAGAGGAGGGACGGACCUGCGUCAUGUUGUUCUGUUUCUUGAGGAGGGAGGUGAGGAGUGGGCCGAAGGAGGAGGCACCGGCGAGCGCGAGCGCGGCUAGCAGGCACGACGUGAUGCCGGUUGCACCUCCCGACGACGACAUCGGCGUCCUGGCAUGCGCUACUCGCCGCGGCCACCCCUCUCAACGAGAUGGGUUUCUUGGCGACAGGAUGCAGCAGCGCGGGCACCUCCUGCGCCACCGCGUCCGGCUUGGACGCCGCCGCCCCGCCGCAUCGAGCGAGCGUCCAUGCCUCGGUGACCAUGGGCACCAUACUAAUUAGCUUCGUGCGGAGGAGCCGUCAAAUAGGGGCGAGCCAUCCAUGGCUAGAUGCGCCCAGAUCGACGACCGCGUACAUACCUUUUCCUCCACUUCGGGGUGGAGCUCGACUGCUUCAUGCAUCCAAAUCGAUGGGACGGUGAGACCUUCCUGUUGGAAUUAUGCCCUAGAGGCAAUAAUAAAUAUAGUUAUUAUUAUAAUUCCUGUAUCAAGAUAAUCGUUUAUUAUCCAUGCUAUAAUUGUAUUGAAUGAAGACUCAUUUACAUCUGUGGAUAAAUAGACAAAACACUGUCCCUAGCAAGCCUCUAGUUGGCUAGCCAGUUGAUCAAAGAUAGUCAGUGUCUUCUGACUAUGAACAAGGUGUUGUUGCUUGAUAACUGGAUCACGUCAUUAGGAGAAUCACGUGAUGGACUAGACCCAAACUAAUAGACGUAGCAUGUUGAUCGUGUCAUUUUGUUGCUACUGUUUUCUGCGUGUCAAGUAUUUGUUCCUAUGACCAUGAGAUCAUAUAACUCACUAACACCGGAGGAAUACUUUGUGUGUAUCAAACGUCGCAACGUAACUGGGUGACUAUAAAGAUGCUCUACAGGUAUCUCCGAAGGUGUUCGUUGAGUUAGUAUGGAUCAAGACUGGGAUUUGUCACUCCGUGUGACGGAGAGGUAUCUCGGGGCCCACUCGGUAAUACAACAUCACACACAAGCCUUGCAAGCAAUGUAACUUAGUGUAAGUUGUAGGAUCUUGUAUUACGGAACGAGUAAAGAGACUUGCCGGUAAACGAGAUUGAAAUAGGUAUGCGGAUACUGACGAUCGAAUCUCGGGCAAGUAACAUACCGAAGGACAAAGGGAAUGACAUACGGGAUUAUAUGAAUCCUUGGCACUGAGGUUCAAACGAUAAGAUCUUCGUAGAAUAUGUAGGAUCCAAUAUGGGCAUCCAGGUCCCGCUAUUGGAUAUUGACCGAGGAGUCUCUCGGGUCAUGUCUACAUAGUUCUCGAACCCGCAGGGUCUGCACACUUAAGGUUCGACGUUGUUUUAUGCGUAUUUGAGUUAUAUGGUUGGUUACCGAAUGUUGUUCGGAGUCCCAGAUGAGAUCACAGAAGUCACGAGGGUUUCCGGAAUGGUCCGGAACGGAAGAUUGAUAUAUAGGAUGACCUCAUUUGAUUACCGGAAGGUUUUCGGAAUUACCGGGAAUGUACCGGGAAUGACGAAUGGGUUCCGGGAGUUCACCGGGNACAGCCCAAGAAGGCCCUAUGCGCCAUAGGAAGAAAAUCAAAGAGAAAAAAGGAGGAGGUGGGAAAGGAAAGAAGGACUCCUCCCACCAAACCAAGUAGGACUCGGUUUCGGGGGGGGAGACCUUCCCCCCUUGGCUCGGCCGACCCCCUUGGGGCUCCUUGAGCCCCAAGGCAAGGCUCCCCCUCUCCCACCUAUAUAUACGGAGGUUUUAGGGCUGAUUUGAGACGACUUUUCCACGGCAGCCCGACCACAUACCUCCACGGUUUUUCCUGUAGAUCGCGUUUCUGCGGAGCUCGGGCGGAGCCCUGCUGAGACAAGAUCAUCACCAACCUCCGGAGCGCCGUCACGCUGCCGGAGAACUCUUCUACCUCUCCGUCUCUCUUGCUGGAUCAAGAAGGCCGAGAUCAUCGUCGAGUUGUACGUGUGCUGAACGCGGAGGUGCCGUCCGUUCGGCACUAGAUCGUGGGACUGAUCGCGGGACUGUUCGCGGGGCGGAUCGAGGGACGUGAGGAUGUUCCACUACAUCAACCGCGUUCACUAACGCUUCUGCUGUACGGUCUACAAGGGUUCGUAGAUCACAUAUCCCCUCUCUUAGAUGGACAUCACCAUGAUAGGUCUUCGUGCGCGUAGGAAAUUUUUUAUUUCCCAUGCGACGUUCCCCAACAGUGGCAUCAUGAGCUAGGUUCAUGCGUAGAUGUCUUCUCGAGUAGAACACAAAAGUUUUUGUGGGCGGUGAUGUGCGUUUUGCUGCCCUCCUUAGUCUUUUCUUGAUUCCGCGGUAUUGUUGGAUUGAAGCGGCUUGGACCGACAUUACUCGUACGCUUACGAGAGACUGGUUUCAUCGCUACGAGUAACCCCGUUGCUCAAAGAUGACUGGCAAGUGUCAGUUUCUCCAACUUUAGUUGAAUCGGAUUUGACCGAGGAGGUCCUUGGAUGAGGUUAAAUAGCAACUCAUAUAUCUCCGUUGUGGUGUUUGCGUAAGUAAGAUGCGAUCCUACUAGAUACCCAUGGUCACCACGUAAAACAUGCAACAACAAAUUAGAGGACGUCUAACUUGUUUUUGCAGGGUAUGCUUGUGAUGUGAUAUGGCCAACGAUGUGAUGUGAUAUAUUGGAUGUAUGAGCUGAUCAUGUUGUAAUAGAUAAUAUCGACUUGCACGUCGAUGGUACGGCAACCGGCAGGAGCCAUAGGGUUGUCUUUAUACUAACGUUUGUGCUUGCAGAUGCGUUUACUAUUUUGCUAGGAUGUAGCUUUAGUAGUAAUAGCAUGAGUAGCACGACAACCCCGAUGGCGAAACGUUGAUGGAGAUCAUGGUGUGGCGCCGGUGACAAGAAGAUCGUGCCGGUGCUUUGGUGAUGGAGAUCAAGGAGCACGUGAUAAUGGCCAUAUCAUGUCACUUAUGAAUUUCAUGUGAUGUUAAUCCUUUUAUGCACCUUAUUUUUCUUAGAACGACGGUAGCAUUAUGAGGUGAUCUCUCACUAAAAUUUCAAGACGAAAUUGUGUUCUCCCCGACUGUGCACCGUUGCUACAGUUCGUCGUUUCGAGACACCACGUGAUGAUCGGGUGUGAUAGACUCAACGUUCACAUACAACGGGUGCAAAACAGUUGCGCACGCGGAACACUCGGGUUAAGCUUGACGAGCCUAGCAUGUGCAGACAUGGCCUCGGAACACAUGAGACCGAAAGGUCGAUCAUGAAUCAUAUAGAUGACAUGAUUAGCAUAGGGAUGCUUACCACUGAAACUAUGCUCAACUCACGUGAUGAUCGGACUUGAGCUAGUGUAAGUGGAUCAUGAACCACUCAAAUGACUAGAGAGAUGUACUUUUUGAGUGGGAGUUUAGCGAUUAAUUUGAUUAAGUUAAACUCUAAUUAUCUUGAACAUAGUCUAAGUCCACUUUGAAUAUAUUUGUGUUGUAGAUCAUGGCUCACGCGACAGUCACCCUGAAUUUUAUUACGUUCCUAGAGAAAGCUAAGUUGAAAGAUGAUGGAAGCAACUUUGUAGACUGGGCUCGUAAUCUUAAGCUAAUGUUACAAGCUGGGAAGAAGGAUUAUGUCCUUAAUGCUGCGCUAGGAGAUGAACCACCCGCUACGGCUGAUCAGGAUGUUAAGAACGCUUGGUUAACACGUAAGGAGGACUACUCAGUAGUUCAAUGUGCAGUCUUGUAUGGCUUAGAACCGGGACUUCAACGUUGCUUUGAGCGUCAUGGAGCAUUUGAGAUGUUCCAGGAGUUGAAGUUUAUCUUUCAGAAGAACGCCCGGAUCGAGAGGUAUGAGACCUCCGAUAAAUUCUAUGCUUGCAAGAUGGAGGAAAACUCGUCUGUCAGUGAACAUGUGCUCAAAAUGUCUGGGUACUCAAACCAUCUAGCUGAGCUGGGGAUUGAACUCCCGCAAGAGGCUAUCACUGACAGAAUCCUUCAAUCACUGCCGCCAAGCUAUAAAGGCUUUGUGUUGAACUACAACAUGCAAGGGAUGAACAAGUCUCCCAGCGAGUUGUUUGCGAUGCUGAAAGUCGCAGAGUCUGAACUCCGUAAAGAGCAUCAAGUGUUGAUGGUGAAUAAGACCACUAGUUUCAAGAGAAACGACAAAGGCAAGAAGGGUAAUUCAAAGAAGAGCGGCAAGCCUAUUGCCAAUCCGACGAAGAAACCCAAAGCUGGACCUAAGCCUGAAACAGAGUGUUACUAUUGCAAGGGUAUGGGUCACUGGAAGCGCAAUUGCCCCAAGUAUCUGGCAGAUAAGAAAGCGGCCAAAGAAAAAUCAGGUAUAUUUGAUAUACAUGUUAUUGAUGUGUACUUAACCGGCUCUCGUAGUAGUGCCUGGGUAUUCGAUACCGGUUCUGUUGCUCAUAUUUGCAACUCGAAACAGGAACUGCGGAAUAGACGAAGGCUGGCGAAAGAUGAAGUGACGAUGCGCGUAGGAAAUGGUUCCAAGGUUGAUGCAACCGCCGUCGGCACAAUUUCACUUCAUUUACCAUCAGGAUUAGUUAUGAACUUGAAUCAUUGUUAUUUAGUGCCCGCGUUGGGCAUGAACAUUAUAUCUGGAUCUUGUUUAUUGCGAGACGGUUACUCUUUUAAGUCAGAGAAUAAUGGUUGUUCUAUUUCUAUGAGUAACAUCUUUUAGGGUCAUGCACCCAAUGUGAGAGGAUUGUUCAUAUUGAAUCUUGAUAGCGAUACACACAUACAUAACAUUGAGACCAAAAGAGUUAGGGUUAACAAUGAUAGCGCCAUAUUUUUGUGGCACUGCCGCUUAGGUCAUAUUGGUGUAAAGCGCAUGAAGAAACUCCAUGCCGAUGGACUUUUGGAGUCACUUGACUUUGAUUCACUUGACACGUGCGAACCAUGCCUCAUGGGGAAGAUGACUAAAACUCCGUUCUCCGGAACAAUGGAGCGUGCAAGUGACUUGUUGGAAAUCAUACAUACCGAUGUGUGUGGUCCGAUGAGCGUAGAGGCACGCGGCGGAUAUCGUUAUUUUCUCACCUUCACUAACGAUUUGAGUAGAUAUGGUUAUGUCUACUUAAUGAAGCACAAGUCUGAAACAUUUGAAAAGUUCAAGCAAUUUCAGAGUGAAGUUGAAAAUCAUCGUAACAAGAAGAUCAAGUUUCUACGGUCUGAUCGUGGGGGUGAAUAUCUGAGUUUCGAGUUUGGUGCUCACUUAAGACAAUGUGGAAUUGUUUCACAGUUGACACUGCCUGGAACACAACAGUGUAAUGGUGUGACCGAACGUCGUAAUCGUACUUUAUUAGAGAUGGUGCGAUCUAUGAUGUCUCUUACCGAUUUGCCGUUAUCGUUUUGGGGUUAUGCAUUAGAAACAACUGCAUUCACUUUAAAUAGGGCACCAUCAAAAUCCGUUGAGACGACACCAUACGAACUGUGGUAUGGCAAAAGGCCAAAGUUGUCGUUUCUUAAAGUUUGGGGAUGUGAUGCUUAUGUCAAAAAGCUUCAGCCUGAAAAGCUGGAACCCAAAGCGGAAAAGUGCGUCUUCAUAGGUUACCCAAAAGAGACAAUUGGGUACACCUUCUAUCUCAAAUCCGAGGGCAAAGUGUUUGUUGCUAAAAACAGAGCUUUUCUCGAGAAGGAGUUUCUCUCGAGAGAAUUGAGUGGGAGGAAGAUAGAACUUGACGAGGUUGUCGAACCUCUCAUCCCUCUGGAUGGUGGCGCAGGGCAAGGGGAAACCUCUGUCGUUGCGAUGCCGGUUGAGGAGGAAGUUAAUGAUGAUGAUCAUGAAACUCCGGUUCAAGUUUCUGUCGAACCACGCAGGUCGAUGAGACCACGUGCUGCUCCUGAGUGGUACGGUAAUCUCGUCUUAUCAAUCAUGUUGUUGGACAACAAUGAACCUGCAAAUUAUGAAGAAGCAAUGGUGGGCCCAGAUUCCAACAAAUGGCUAGAAGCCAUGAAGUCCGAGAUAGGAUCCAUGUAUGAGAACAAAGUGUGGACUUUGGAGGAACUGCUUGAGGGCCGCAAGGCUAUUCUGAACAAAUGGAUCUUUAAGAGGAAGACGGACGCUGACGGCAAUGUGACCGUUUAUAAAGCUCGACUUGUGGCAAAGGGUUUUUCACAAGUUCAAGGAGUUGACUACGAUGAGACAUUCUCACCCGUAGCGAUGCUUAAGUCCGUCAGAAUCAUGUUAGCAAUAGCUGCAUUUUUCGAUUAUGAAAUCUGGCAGAUGGAUGUCAAAACGGCGUUCCUUAACGGUUUCCUUAAGGAAGAAUUGUAUAUGAUGCAACCCGAAGGUUUUGUCGAUCCUAAGAAUGCUAACAAGGUGUGCAAGCUGCAGCGAUCCAUUUAUGGACUGGUGCAAGCAUCUCGGAGUUGGAACAAACGCUUUGAUGAGGUGAUCAAAGCUUUUGGGUUUAUACAAGUGGUUGGAGAAUCUUGUAUUUACAAGAAAGUGAGCGGGAGCUCUGUGGCGUUUCUAAUAUUAUAUGUGGAUGACAUAUUGCUGAUUGGAAACAACGUAGAGUUUUUAGAGAGCAUAAAGGAUUACUUGAAUAAAAGUUUCUCUAUGAAGGACCUAGGAGAAGCUGCUUACAUUCUAGGCAUUAAGACAUAUAGGGAUAGAUCAAAACGCAUGAUAGGACUUUCACAAAGCACAUACCUUGAUAAAGUUUUGAAGAGGUUCAAAAUGGAACAGUCCAAGAAAGGGUUCUUGCCAGUUUUACAAGGUACGAGAUUGAGUAAGACUCAGUGCCCAGCAACUGAUGAGGAUAGAGAGCAUAUGCACUCCGUCCCCUAUGCUUCAGCCAUAGGUUCUAUCAUGUAUGCAAUGCUGUGCACUAGACCGGACGUUAGCCUGGCCAUAAGUAUGGAAGGUAGGUUCCAGAGUAAUCCAGGAGUAGAUCACUGAACGGCGGUCAAGAAUAUCCUGAAGUACCUGAAAAGGACUAAGGAGAUGUUUCUCGUGUAUGGAGGUGACGAAGAGCUCGCCGUCAAAGGUUACGUCGAUGCAAGCUUUGACACAGAUCCAGACGACUCUAAGUCGCAAACCGGAUACGUAUUUAUUCUUAAUGGGGGUGCUGUAAGCUGGUGCAGUUCCAAGCAAAACGUCGUAGCAGAUUCUACAUGUGAAGCGGAGUACAUGGCUGCCUCGGAGGCGGCUAAGGAGGGUGUCUGGAUGAAGCAAUUCAUGACGGAUCUUGGAGUGGUGCCAAGAGCACUGAAUCCAAUAGUUCUGUGACAACACGGGUGCCAUUGCCUUAGCAAAGGAACCACGGUUUCACAAGAAGUCCAGACACAUCAAACGACGCUUCAACCUCAUCCGCGACUACGUCGAAGGAGAGGACGUAAAUAUAUGCAAAGUGCACACGGGUCUGAAUGUAGCAGACCCGCUGACUAAACCUCUUCCACGGCCAAAGCAUGAUCAACACCAGAACUGUAUGGGUGUUAGAUUUAUUACAAUGUAAUUCGCAUGAUGAUGUGAGGGCUAGAUUAUUGACUCUAGUGCAAGUGGGAGACUGUUGGAAUUAUGCCCUAGAGGCAAUAAUAAAUAUAGUUAUUAUUAUAAUUCCUGUAUCAAGAUAAUCGUUUAUUAUCCAUGCUAUAAUUGUAUUGAAUGAAGACUCAUUUACAUGUGUGGAUAAAUAGACAAAACACUGUCCCUAGCAAGCCUCUAGUUGGCUAGCCAGUUGAUCAAAGAUAGUCAGUGUCUUCUGAUUAUGAACAAGGUGUUGCUGCUUGAUAACUGGAUCACGUCAUUAGGAGAAUCACGUGAUGGACUAGACCCAAACUAAUAGACGUAGCAUGUUGAUCGUGUCAUUUUGUUGCUACUGUUUUCUGCGUGUCAAGUAUUUGUUCCUAUGACCAUGAGAUCAUAUAACUCACUAACACCGGAGGAAUACUUUGUGUGUAUCAAACGUCGCAACGUAACUGGGUGACUAUAAAGAUGCUCUACAGGUAUCUCCGAAGGUGUUCGUUGAGUUAGUAUGGAUCAAGACUGGGAUUUGUCACUCCGUGUGACGGAGAGGUAUCUCGGGGCCCACUCGGUAAUACAACAUCACACACAAGCCUUGCAAGCAAUGUAACUUAGUGUAAGUUGCGGGAUCUUGUAUUACGGAAAGAGUAAAGAGACUUGCCGGUAAACGAGAUUGAAAUAGGUAUGCGGAUACUGACGAUCGAAUCUCGGGCAAGUAACAUACCGAAGGACAAAGGGAAUGACAUACGGGAUUAUAUGAAUCCUUGGCACUAAGGUUCAAAUGAUAAGAUCUUCAUAGAAUAUAUAGGAUCCAAUAUGGGCAUCCAGGUCCCGCUAUUGGAUAUUGACCGAGGAGUCUCUCGGGUCAUGUCUACAUAGUUCUCGAACCCGCAGGGUCUGCACACUUAAGGUUCGACGUUGUUUUAUGCGUAUUUGAGUUAUAUGGUUGGUUACCGAAUGUUGUUCGGAGUCCUGGAUCAGAUCAUGGACGUCACGAGGGUUUCCGGAAUGGUCCAGAAACGAAGAUUGAUAUAUAGGAUGACCUCAUUUGAUUACCGGAAGGUUUUCGGAAUUACCGGGAAUGUACCGGGAAUGACGAAUGGGUUCCGGGAGUUCACCGGGNNNNNNNNNNNNNNNNNNNNNNNNNNNNNNNNNNNNNNNNNNNNNNNNNNNNNNNNNNNNNNNNNNNNNNNNNNNNNNNNNNNNNNNNNNNNNNNNNNNNGAAGCCAUCUCGUCAUCUCUACAACAGUUUGGGAACAAAGUUAUCCUUGAGAUACAGUCAGCACACAGCAAGAGACAAAAAGAAAUGCCCACAGCUGAAAAGCUCACUGACAAGUGUAUUAAAACCAAAUUGCUUAGCCAAAACACAAGCAAGCACUUCUGAUUUUCAUGUGGUGUUUCCCCAUAAUACAUAAUUACAUGGUGCAUUACAGCAUGCACGCGGAUCAAAGAUACUCAUUCUCGGUCGUCGUUGGUUAUUGCACAUAACCAAUACCUAAAAAACGGUUUGGGAAGGAAAAUCGGGUUUUUGAAAGAUCAGGGCAAAAUCCAUGGCUCCACUCCACCCCGCUCUCCGCUCCACCCACCCCUAGCCUAGCUUUGCCCCGCCUCCUCCCGUCGCCGUCGAGCUCCGCCGGCACCCUCCCCUCGCCAUGGCCCUCUCCUGCUCCAGCGAGGCGAGCUCCUCCAGCCACGCGCGCCGCAGGCAGGUCUCCCUCGACGGCUCGUCCUCCGCGCGCUCCCCGGUUCCGACGGCGCGCCAGCAGGCUGCUACGCCGCCCCGCGCCGACCCAUCCGCCCCCCCUGCGGCUGGUGUGUGCCGGGUGCCGGCCACGGCUCGCCUAGGGCCACGUUCGGAGAUGCACCAGGUGGAGCGCGCUAGAGCCGCGGUCGAUCAAGAGGGGUUCGAGCUCCCUUGACGCCGGGACCGACGCCGCCGUCCCCGGCGUGCCGCUGCGCCGGGCCCCGCUCCGCCUUGUCCCCGUAGCCCUUCGGCCGAGGAGGCGGCGGGCCUCUGCUUCCGCUGCCUGGACUCACGCCACAGGGUGCGCGACUGCACCGGAGAUGUCCGCUGCCGCCGCUGCCUCGUGUCUGGCCAUGAGUCCUGGGAAUGCCCAGACCGCCGCCGCCCCAGCACUCGCGCCCACUCCCCGCGCGCGCCUACGGCGAGGACCGCGCCGCCGGCGACGCCACGCCCCGUGGCGUUCCGCACACCCCCGCUGCUGCCCCCCAUGGAGGCCCAGGAACGCACCAAUGUCCCGUCCGCUCCAGUGCGGGUCAUCCUCGCCCGCUCCGUCGAGAUCGAGGAGACGGAGGGCGUCUUGCGCCGGGCCAUGGUGGCCACCAUCACUGGGACGCGACCCGUCGUCUACGCGAAAGAGGUGGCCGAGCUGCUGCACACUUCCCUCGCCCUGCACCCCGGCGACUUCUCCAUGCACCUCCACCACCCGGAGGACUUCCUCAUCGUCCUCGCCUCCCGCGAGCUCAAGCACCGCCUCACCGGCGACCACUUCAUCUCCGGCCCUCACUUCUCCCUCUCGCUGCGCCCAUGGUGUAAGCUCGCGCAUGCUAGCUCGGCAGGUUGGACUACCGCGUCGAGCUCGAGCUCCGCGGGAUCCCCGCCCAGGCUUGGCAUCUCUCCACGACGGAGCACAUCCUGGGCAGCAGCUGCUGGAUCGAGAGGCUGCACCCGAGCACGCGCUCCCGCGCCGACCUCGCCACGUUCCGGCUCUCCGCCCGCACCGCCGACCCGGCCCGCAUCCACCGCCACGCCACCUUGGAGAUCGUCGAGUCGCAUCCCUCGCGCCACCAGUCGGACGCCCCUGCCAUCUCCACCCUCACGUACCCGGUGUUCAUCACGCUCGCCCGUGCCGAGCUCGAUGCCCCUGCGCCGAGCAGCCACGCCCCAGCGGUCGAUCCCGACGACGGCCAGGACGAUAACCAAGGGCGCCGCGACGACGACCCUGCCAGGCGCGCCCGCCAACACCACUGUGGUCGCAAGAGGCGUCGCACCGGCUCCACCCCUGCUCGUCGCGCCGACGGCAUGCAGAUGGACGACCUCCCCUGGCCGCGCAACCCGCGCCCGCAGCGCGCUGACGGCAUCGCCGUGGUUGCUGGCUGGACCUCGACAUGUGAAGUGCGACGUACGGUCACACAGCCGGCGGCGCUCCGCCCGUUCCGCAUCAUCCGGCCAUGGCCUGGCCUACGCGGGGCCUGCGGUACCCGUCGCCCUCGUCAGCCCCUUGAAAAAGUGCAGGGCAAAGCAGUCAAACAUGUUCUGCCUCUGAUCCCCAGGCCGACAGGAUCAGAAGCCGCAGAGGGGGCGCCCACACCCGUGGCUCAGGAUCGCUCGCAGGUCCCCAACUUUGGCGCGGGCCCCAGCAUGGAUUCGAUCCCGCAGUCGCCCGACGCGGUCGUGGAGGGCAUCGGGACACCGCUUCGCGCUACUCCAACCCCAUCUACCCAACCAGAUCAGCCGCUUUUUGUGGGGUCCCUCUCUUUGGACGCAGUGAUCCCUGUCGAAGCUGAUCCCCACGUGGAUGACGAGACCCUGGCCCGGUCGAUGGAGGGCCCGAUGACGGCGGACCCUGCCAGCCCCGUCCCCACUUCCUCGCCUGAUGCGGAUGCGCCCACCACUACCGUGGCCACCCCACCCCUUGCAGAUGCGCCUAUCAGCCCCCCGGCUACCCCACCCCCUGCAAACGCGCCAAUCAGCACUGCAGAUGCGCCAAUCAGUCCUCUGGCUUCCCCCGCGGGCCGUUUCGUUUCCCCGUCAAUCACCAUGAUGCGACCGCGCCAUCGGCGACCCACCGAGACGUGGACAUUGGGAGAGUUCCUCUCGGCCGCCACUAAGCACAUCAGUGUUGUCCUCCCCACCCCAGGAAAGCGCCUACGCCGGCCAGCACUGAACUUCUCUCCGCGACGGGGCCGAUCCGUGUCCUCCUCGACCUCCAAGACCGUUGCUCCUCCCACGGCUGAGCGUCGGGCGCAGGUGCAGGUCCUCCGCACCCUCGGCAUCUUAGGCAUAAACCAGCAGACCACCGCUGCCGAUAUGCGGGCCUACGACGGCAUCUUCGCCAUGCCCAUCCCCCGGCCUGUGCUCGCUGUCAUCGCAGCGCUGGUUGAGCGCGAGCUGCCUCCCCUCUAGGGAACGGCGCCGACCGCGACCCCAUCGCGGUCUAAUCGCUGUGUGCAGCACCUGUCGAACAUGUUCUCAUGAAUUACGACCUCAAAAUUGUAAUCUGGAACGCCCGCGGCAUGAACGCACGCGCUCGUCGUUCGGCCAUUCGCUCGCUGAUCUGUACCACCGAGGCAUCCAUUGUUUGCAUUCAAGAAACAAAGAUGGAGUUCAUUUGCUCGUCGACCGUCCUUGAGACGCUUGGCUCCGAGUUCGACGAAUACGUCUAUCUGCCGACAGUCGACACCCGCGGUGGCAUACUCUUGGCUUGGAAGAGCCGGUCCGUCGCCCUCUCCAAUCAGUCGUUUGCCACGAACUCGCUCUCAGCCAGAGUUACCAUGCCUGGCGCCCCCCCUGGUGGCUUACUGUGGUAUACGGGCCCUAGGCCGACGCGGCGAAGAUUGCCUUCCUGCAGGAGCUUCGCGACGUGCGAGCUGCCUGCCCUGGACCUUGGAUGCUAUGCGGAGACUUCAACCUGAUCUAUCACGAGGAGGAUAAGAACAACCGCAACCUCAACCGCCGCAUGAUGGGCAAGUUUCGCCGCCUGAUUGACGACCUCGCGCUCAAAGAAGUAUACCUCAACGGCCGCCAGUACACGUGGUCAAACGAGCAAUCGCCGCCGACGCUCAUGCGCCUCGACCGCGUCCUGUGCACCACAGACUAGGAAGAGCUACAUGGGGAGUGCCGCCUCCGCUGCCUCGCGUCCGUCGUCUCUGACCAUAGCCCUCUACUGCUGGAUUGCUGCCCCUUGCCUCGCGCUCACCGACGAUUCCACUUCGAGCAGUUCUGGCUCCGCCUGGAUGGCUUCCAGGACGUGGUGACCAUGGCUUGGGGCUCCGUCACUCAUUACGAUCCCUUCAAGCGCAUGAUGCUACGCCUCCAGGCCACCGCCCGCGCGCUUACUAGCUAGAGCGCCCGCUCGGUCGGUGGUGGCCGCCUCAAGCUCGCAAUCGCGCGGGAGCUGAUCUCCCGUUUCGACAAGGCGCAAGAGGACCGGGCCCUCACCCCCGACGAGCGCUGGCUACGCUCCCAGUUGAAGGUAUCCUACCUCGGGCUUGCCUCGCUCGAGCGCACCAUUGCCCGCCAACGAGCGCGGAUUACCUCGUUGAAGGACGGUGACGCCAACACCUCCUUCCACCGCCAGAGCACCUACCGCAGGCAGAAGAACAGGAUCUACAACAUCAGCAUCGACGGUCACGCGAUUUCUAGCCAGGACGACAUGGCGGACGCAGCCUACACACACUUUGAUGGCCUACUUAGCAGCGCCGUCGACCGCGAGUGCUCGCUCCACCUUGACGAGCUUAUCGAGCCCGCCGACGGCCUCCUCGCCCUCGAGGAGCCGUCGCCGCCGAGGAAAUCUGGCACGCUAUUCAACGACUCCCCGCGCACAAGGCGCCGGGCCCCGACGGCUUCACUACAGAGUUCCUGCGCGCUUGCUGGCCCACGGUGUGGCAAGACCUGGUGGACGUCUUCAGCAGCUGUACGACAUGCGCGACCGAGGUUUCGACCGCCUCAACCAGGCGCUGCUCACCUUGCUCCCCAAGCGUGCCGAUGCCGCCACCUUCAGGGAUUACAGGCCGAUCAGCCUCAUCCAUCUCGUCGCCAAGGUGUUCGCCAAAGUGCUCUCCCUCCGCCUUGGCCCAGAGCUGGAUCGCCUCGUCAGCCCGAACCAAAACGCAUUCAUCCCUGGGCGCAGCCUCCACGACAACUUCGUCCUCGUCAAGCAAUCGGCGCAGCUACUCCACCAGCUCAAAGCCCCACGCGCCCUCCUCAAGCUGGACCUGACCAAAGCAUUCGACUCGAUCUCCUGGCCUUUUGUCUUCGAGGUGUUGCACCGAUACGGUUUUGGCACCCGCUUCCGAGCAUGGAUGGCCAUCCUGCUAUCUUCGGCGAGCACCCGGGUGCUGCUCAAUGGCGACCCGGGCCCCCUGAUUUGGCAUCGUCGAGGAUUCCGACAGGGCGACCCGCUGUCCCCGCAGCUCUUCGUCCUUGCCGUCGACGUGCUCGGCCGGCUCGUCAACCGGGCCACCUCGCUGGGUCUCCUACAGCGCCUCCACCCGCGGCACACGGUACUGGCGAUCUCGUUGUACGCUGACGACGUCGUGCUGUUCUGCCAUCCAUCGCCGGACAAGAUCACCGCUGUCAAGGGCAUCCUGUGCCUCUUCGGCCGCGCCUCCAGACUUCACGUCAACUUCGCCAAGAGCACAGCGACACUCAUUCGCUGCGACGAGGAGGCGGCAACCGCGGCAGUGCAGCUGCUCGGCUGUCCCAUCGCCGAGCUCCUGGUCACCUACUUGGGAAUCCCACUCACGAUCCGGCGAUCUGGUGGACAAGGUGAGGGGCCAACUGCCGUCCUGGAAGGCGUGGCUCAUGAACAAGGUUGGGCGCCUCGUGAUGGUGAAAUCCGUCCUCUGCGCAGUCCCCAUUCACCAACUGCUCGUUUUUGCACCGCCCAAGAAGACCAUCAAGCAACUGGAGAAGAUCGAGCGCGGCUUCCUGUGGGCUGGCCGUGAGGCUGCCAAUGGGGGUAACUGCCACGUAAACUGGCGGCGCACUUGCCGCCCCAUCGAGCUUGGAGGCCUUGGCAUCCCAGACCUCGAGCGCACCGGGUUGGCUCUCCGCCUGCGGUGGCUUUGGCUCAGCCACACCGACCGGAACAGAGCUUGGAGUGGGCUCGACCUGCAGUUCUCGGCGGACGAACGCGCCCUGUUCUUCGCCUGCACCACGAUGUCCCUGGAGAACGGCCUCUUGGCCCUCUUCUGGGACGAUCGCUGGAUCGGCGGCCGAUCUGUUGGCGAGAUAGCACUGCGGCUCCUCGCCUGCAUCCCCAUGCGCAGGAGAAAGGCGCGGACGGUUGCGGAGGGGCUCAAUGCCAACGCCUGGGCUCGUGACAUCGAGGGCACUCUCGGUGUCCACGAGAUUGGCCAGUACAUCCGCCUCUGGAACGUCAUCGAGCACACCAUCCUGCUCAACACGCCCGACCAGCUCUCCUGGAAGUGGACUACGAAUGGUUCAUACUCCGCUAAGUCCUGCUACAAGAUUACCUUCCAGGGAUCCAUCCCCGGCGCCUCCUGGAAGCUCAUAUGGAAGAGUUGGGCUCCACCCCGGGUGCGUUUCUUCCACUGGCUCGCUGACCAGGAUAGAUGCUGGACCUCCGACCGCCUAGCUCGUCGCGGGCUACGGCACCACAACCCUUGCAUUCUGUGCUGCCAGGACCCCGAGACAAUGGACCACUUGCUCCUCCGCUGCCCCUUCUCCAGGCAGGUCUGGCAAAGCAUCAUCGCCUGGCUCCGCUUGCCGUGCACCGCCCCCAGCCAUGAGAUUUCCCUUCUUGCCUGGUGGCAUCGCGCCAAGCGGAGUAUGCCGCAGCCCAUGCGCAAAGGCUUCGCCUCCGUGACCCUGCUGACCCCAUGGAUGAUAUGGAAACACCGCAACAGUUGUGUGUUUGAGGGCACCCAACCCUCGAUGAACGACCUGGUCGCGAAGAUCAAAGAAGAAGCGUCCCUCUGGACCAAGGCAGGAGCGGCCGGUCUCCGUGUCAUCUACCCCAGACCUGGUAUGUACACUAGACAUAGGCUUUUCCAUUCCCAGCAUUGCCCCUCCUAGGAGGAUUGUAAUAUAAACUCUACCUUUUCAAUACAAAGAAACGCAUGCAUCUCAAUGCGUUUUCUCGAAGAAAAAAAACGGGUUUGGACCCAUAGUUUAUAACCGUUAAUAACCAAACUGUUUAAACCCAUAACAACCUAUACCAAACUGGUUUCUCCACAUACCCAAACCAAAACCAAACUAAAAAAAGCUCAGCCCAAUAAAACCUGAACCAAUCAAACCUAAAGUAAAAACCGAACCGUUACACCCAGUUUUUUAAUAACCAUUCUCAGGUUUGCCAGCCAUAUGCAAACCAUAAAAACUGGGAUCUAUAAACACCAGUGGUUUUAUAUUUUUUGGUAAGAAAAGUCUAGAUAGAUAAAAUUAAAGGCUUAAAACCGCAAGCAUAGAGACAAGAGCCCCCAUAUUGCAUGGUUGAAUAAAUUGCAAAGGUUAAAAAUCCUGCAUCCAGCAAUGAUGAGUGCAUUUUAUAUUUGAGGCAUGAACUACUGCAUCCAAAUCUCAACUGGCCACAUGGCAUUGAAGGAGAGACAAUGAAAAAAUGCAUGGCAUUAAAAUCAUCAGAAGCAGAUCAUAUUGCUACAAUCAUAAUCACUCUUAAGAAUGACUAAAAUGUCAAUUAAAAAAAAACUUACCAAGCACAGUGCUCCAAUUGCAAGAGUAAUGUUAACGGCAACUCUAGGAUUAGAUACAGGGACGCACUUGCACAAUAUCUGCAACCACAAUUAGGAAAAGUUAGGGAGAAGUUAUCAUUAACAGGGAAAGGAAGCUAACUUUGUUCAUGAAAGUAAAAGGAGGAAAAGGAAGAUAGCAAUAUGGAAGGAUGGAUUCAUGUGAUAGUAAAAUCCUGAUAAUUUACACCUAAAUGAACAAAAUCAUAUUUACCCUAUGUCAAAAUAACAAUCAUAAUCCAUAAUUUGUGGGAUGACUCUUUUGAGUCAGCACGUUGCCAGUAAAAAAGUAAACACUAGAUUAUUAUUUGAGUAAGCAGCGGCCAUAACAUUUACUGAUGUACCUCAAAACCUACAUACAUACAUAGAGAGAGUUGUACCGUGGACACGCUGGGACGUCACAUUAGACGGGCCAUGUCGCUUGGCAUCUUGGAGCAGCUGUACCCUCGCCGCCCUAUUCCGGAAAUCUCACUCUACGCUGACGACGUGGUACUUUUUUGCCACCCCUCCCUGAGCGACAUCGCCGCGAUCAAGGCGAUCCUGGAGCUAUUCGGUCGAGCCUCGGGGCUCCGCGUCAACUACAACAAGAGCUCCGCCACCAUGCUCAACUGCGCACCGGGAGACACAGAUCUGAUCACGGAGCUCCUUGGGUGCAAGAUCGCGGACCUGCCGCUCACGUACCUCGGGAUUCCUUUCACCAUCCGGCGACCCACAAACGCCCAGCUGCAGCCCCUGGUUGAUACGGUUGGCGGCAUGCUCCCUAGGUGGAAGUCUAAGCUCAUGAACAAAUCGGGCCGCCCCGCCCUUGUCAAGUCCGUGCUCUGCGCCAUCCAUAUUUUACCAAAUCCUCGUCUUCGCCCCACCGAAGAAAACGAUCAAGCUCGUUGAGAAAACUGAGAGAGGAUUCCUAUGGGAGGGUCGCGCCGCCGCAAACGGCGGCAGCUGCCACAUCAAUUGACGUCGCAUCUGCCGGCCUCUCCCCCUCGGCGGCCAGGACAUGGAGCGCGCCGGGCUCGCCCUCUGGCUGCGGUGGCUUUGGUUCAGCCGAACAGACGAGGGCCGAGCUUGGCAUGGCCUCGAUCUCCAGUUCUCCAAGGAAGAGCAUGCCCUGUUCUUCGCCUCCACCUCACUAGCCGUGGGAGAUGGCAGAACAGGCAAAUUUUGGGAGGACCGCUGGAUCAAUGGCCGCUCCAUCGGCGAGAUCGCGCCCCAGCUCUAUGCUUGCAUCCCCAAGCACCGGCGCAAGCAGCGCACCAUCGCGGAGGGCCUUCUGAACCACGCUUGGGUGCGAGAUAUACACAGCUACCUGGGCAUCCACGAAAUAGGUCAAUACAUGUUGUGGCGUGAAACUAAAGGCAUUGCCCUCACCGAGCAAUCAGACCAGCUAAUCUGGAGGUGGACCUCGAGCGGCUCCUACUCUGCACGCAGUGCUUACCUCGCCACCUUCCACGGCUCCGCUAGCUGUGAUGCAUGGAAGCUGACCUGAAAGAGCUGGGGCCCGCCACGUGUCAAAUUCUUCCUGUGGCUCGCCAAUCUGGACAGAUGCUGGACCGUGGACCAAUUGCGCCGCCGCGGCCUUCAGCACCAUCCACGUUGCGUCUUGUGCGACCAAGAGCCUGAAACGAUGCGCCACCUGCUAGUCACAUGCCCCUUCUCGCGGCAGGUAUGGCAUGAGACGCUCUCCUGGCUACAUCUGACCUGCCGACCGCCAGACCAGGCCACCCUGAACGAUUGGUGGAUGCAUGCCAAGCUGGAGACGCCAAAACCCAUGCGCAAGGGCCUCGCCACGGCAACUCACUCGACGGCAUGGAUGCUCUGGAAGCACCGCAACUCCUGUGUGUUCGACGGCGACCAGCCCUCCACCGCCCUGCUUUCGACAAGAAUCAGAGAGGAAGCAUCCCUUUGGGUUCGGGCUGGGGCCACUGGGUUCACUAGUUUUUUGCUUUUUUGAACCCCUGUAAACCUCCUCCUCGGAGGCGUGUACUGUUAAACUCUCUCCCUAUUCAAUGAGAAGAAACGCUCGAAAAAAACAUAGAGGGAGUUGUUAGAAAAUUCCCAAAAACUAUGUUCUUUUUAUUUGCAUCAGCACCCCAUCAUCUAAACUGGCACUUUAUUAGUAGCAUUCGUGGCAAGUUCUGAUAAAGGUUUUCUCGAACAAAGAUAUCUAUAAAAUUGAAUGAAUAACUAAGACAUGUACGCACCUUGAAAAUAUCGUUAGCUGCUUUUAACGGUUUAUUGAACUUUGAAGAUUCUUUAGUGUCAAGCAAAGUUACAACUGCCUGCAUCCAAUGGGAAACAAAUGAUUUCCAUGAAUGCAAGGCAAGAAGAGCUACCACAAUGUUUCUUGAUAUAAACAUAGAUUCGGCCAUCUCCAUUAAUGCUUGCUCAUAUGCAGCAUGUACUUUAGACAAAUCCUGCGAAUAAAAAAAUGUAACUGAUCAGUAUAGUAUAGAAGGACACACGUUUUGGCAAUUAUAGAUGAAAACAUGCAACUUCAAAGAUGCUACCUUAGAUUUCCCUUCACGAAGGAUGUCCUCUGAGGAAAACUUGAUGGUUAAAAGAGCUGCACCAGGCAACCGAUGGUGUGCGGAUUUUUCUACAAUUUGAAAGUUUAGCCGAAUAAAAGCUGAAGCUACCAUCACAAUGCAUUAAACAUAGAACAGAACAAAUUACAUAUGUUUUCAUAUUUAACAUAAAAAGGAGCAUUUUAAGAAACAGUAUAGUGGACAAAAUAUCAAGCAUUCACCUAUUUACUUGUACAAAAAUUUAACUCAUUUGCAUAUGACAAUCAUACCUUUAAACACGGCCUGAGGGAGAACAUCCAAUAACUUCUCAAAUUUGUGCACCGUGUUUCUUUUAUCUGUAGUCACUCUACGGCGGUUUCUAGAUGUGUAGGGAAAAACCUUAGUUAAGGAUGUACAUGCGCAUCUGAACUGGGUAAUUUCAGAAAAUAUACUAACAUGUGCUCAAAUUUGAUAAUCUCGACUUGAAAGUUCUCCAUGGCUUUGAGAACUUCCAGAUUAUGUUCAUUAGUAAAGCACUCAUAGUUUCUCCUCCAGAAAUCAGGAAUAGAAUCUUGAAUAAGUGAGAUCUGAAAAUACCAACCAAAAAUUAAGAGAACGCCCAGAAGCUUUGCAUACCUUUUCAUUAAGUAGAGAAGCUAGCUUAUACUGUAGUUACAAGAGAUGCAACGCAUGGGUAAUUUACCAAAAAAAAAACGCAGAAUACCAAAUGUAAGAAGUAAACGGAAUGCAAUUUUUGGUCAAAGUAUUACAAAUAUGGAGAUGCAGACAAUAACACAACAAAGUGCAGCAGAACCUUGUAGUGGGACAAUGAGUGAAAAGCAGUUCCUCUUGCUUUAAUCCAAAGACGAUCAGCUUCGGCGUUAUUUUUCUUGUAUGUACCAAUGCUCCACAAUGUUUGUAUCAAGUUCAUUGAUGUUUCAGAAUAUGCUUCAGCAUCCAUCGCUCCCCAUCUCAACAGAAUGCAUAAGCUGAAGGAAAGGGAGAUAAGAGUCAGACCAAACUGAACUGGUGUGCACAUAAGCACAUUUGUAUUAAAUGCAUCAUUCUAGUGGCCUUACCCAUUUGAAACCAUGGGAUCAAUUGAAUAAUCUGGCAGCUCCUUUGAUAUAACUUUCCAGGCAGUAUAAAAAUCUGCAUGCAUAUGAGCUGCUUGCCUCAGAAGUGAAGUUCAGAAGACAUGAGUUCUUAAGAUUUAACCAUACUCUUUGCUAGCUUUCAGAUGACAUGACUUCAUGUAACAUGAUAUUUCGAGGAGGACGACAAUCAACUUACCCACGAUGUCCGCCUCACAGAGAUAGGAGAGGCUCUCCAGGCCAAGAGCUUGAACUACAGAAUCAUGGCUCUCAAUACAAGACUACAAGGGAAGUGUUAGAACGUGGACUAAGUCAAGAAAGAAUGCAUGAUGAGCCAAGAAAGAUGACGAAAAUACACACCGAGACAGAUAAUAUGAGAUCGACACCUCUAUCUGGGUUCUGCUUGCAAACAUCACGCACUGAUGCAGCAAUACUUGUAAAAACUUCUCUAUCAGUAGUGAAACUGGAAAAUGUUUCAGGAUCCAGAACUCCCUAAUUAAGAAAGCGGAAAUUAGUGCUUAUCUUGUAAUUGUAGCAGUGAACUAGUGAUACAAGAAAAUUACAGAUUGACGAACUUUAAUUAAUCAUAUGGUAUGCUUAUCUUCAAGAACAUUACAUGAAAUGUCUGCUUAGAAUUCAAGAAUGGAGAAGAGCUUCUAUUAUGUUUGAGCACAGAGGGAGUACAUAGCAUGGUUUUAGCUAACUACUUGACUUUUUCAUAACUUAAACUCUAGGGAAAGGUGACGUGAUGAUCCACUCAUCAGUCUCGAUUGCAUUGUGUUUGGAAUUCAGGCGACAUAAAGGCAUAAAGUUAUCACUCUAGCCAUUCAGAACUGCUUCAGAAACAUAUGGUAUGCAUAAGUUUCAAUAUUUCAUAACAUAAACACUCAUAAGCAAUGUAUUGAAGCUUUUGAUAGUGGCAAAACAAGAUUCUAAUAUUCAACUUAUUGUGUGCCCUUACUUGUAAGUUUGGAAAUGCCCAAUCUGUGAUAAUCCAUAUCUUGCAAAGCAAUCGAACAGCAAUAGCAUAUAGAGUCCUGUGUGUUGCCAUGCAAAAGUAACACGAUCAUAUAUUAAAAUGAAUAUCAUGCAACAGCAAAUAAAUAAUACUGCGUCAGCACAUACAGUUAUGAUAGUAAUGCCUAAUUCAGCUUCAGCUUAUUGCUCACAUAAAUCCUACUCCCUCCGUCCCAUAAUAUAAGAGUCGUUUUUUACACUACACUAGUGUACAAAAACGCUCUUAUAUUAUGGGAUGGAGGGAGCAUAUCCUAUAUACCUAAAUAGUUCAUCCCCACUACCUCUAUUAUCUUAACAUGCACACAUGCCACCUCAUCAAAGUCCAUCAAGACAAAAGUUUCUUGUAUUCAAAAGUAUUGAUGUUUAUUGAAGGCAACCAAUAUUCGUAUUUUUCCUCUUCAAAAUAUCAUUUUCGAGUUAAAAAUGAAGUUGUGAAUAAGAUACUUAUUUUCCUGAUAUAUAUUGGACAGGCUCUCAAAAAACAUAUACUAUUAUAUCUUGGCAAGUUGUUGACGACUUGUUACUGCAUGCAGAAUAGUCACAAGCUCUGUAUUUAAAAAUUGCACGUCAUUUUCUGGUUAUGUGCUAAAAACAAUGAUGACAUGUUCACACUGUCAGCUGCUUCUUAAUUUUUCUGAAACUGCCCAAUCCGUGUUGGAAAUGAGUUGGUCCUGCUGUAUGCAUGAUGACAUAUGUUGCUCUGUUUCUUAUUAUAUGAAGAGGAUUUGUGGACAAUUUUUCAAAAAUCAGAAAAAGGUGAAAACAAAGUAUAUGCGCUCCACGCCAGAACAGGACAAACCAGCUAAAACAAGCAAAUACAAAAAAUAACAGGAAACUUGAGUUGAGCGCACUGGUGUCGAAAUUGGAUGAAGAAUCGAAACACUUACGAUUUUGCAUCUUUUUUAAGCAUUGGUGAUAUCAAUUGCAGAGCAAGUGGAAGCACAAAACCAUGUGUAGCAAGUGAUGGCAACGACUCAAGCAAACUGAGCUGCGAAUGAUACAGCAAUAAAUGUCAAGUACAUUCCUCUGCUUGCAGUUAUUCUAUUUAUUAGAUACUGAUAUGAAUCGGGAUACACGUUGUGGUAACUAGCGCGCACAAGAUGGCCAGACAGCAUGGCAGAAAGGUGGGGGAGUGGGGCAGCAGAAAGAGGAGACCAUAGAACUUCCCGCAAAGAAAAGGAGACCAUAGAAUAGGUUAACGAACUUUAGAUGGACUCUUUCUUGAGUAAUUUAUAACAGAUACAUGGCUGUCUCUUUCAAGGGGAUGGCUAGAGUUAGCCACUAAGAUAGUCUAUACCUCUACGGGAAUUAAUCAUAAUAAGUUAUACGAGCAUAUCCAACUGACAGCAAAAAUAAUUAUUCGAUACUGCAUUUUUGAACUAACGAUACAGAAGUCAGGCUGCGGAACAGGACUACGAGAUUGCUGCAGCAACCUAUUAUGAAGGAUGGUCUCUAAGAUCAAGGACGAAGCCGAACAAUGGGCACGUGCUGGUGCCCGCGGCCUCAGAGUCAUCUUGCCAACCACCUGGGAUGUACGUUAAAUUUAUUUUCAUGUCCCUUCCUGAACUCGCUCUCCUAGGAGGGUUGUAACCAAACUCUAUCUUUUCAAUGCAAUGAAACGCAAAAUCUCUUGCGUUUUCUUGAAAAAAAAAACAUUAAGGAUGGUAUUUCUCACUCCUGAUGUCCAGAUUCUAUGGUGUGCACAGCUGUUGCUUCCCUAUUUUCAACAUUUAAUUAGAUAGUGAAGAUCGGUGUCCGUCUAGUCUAAGUAGUGUGAUAAGGAUUUUACAUAUUUUCAAUUUAUUUAUUUACAAAUUCAUGUAUUCAUAAACCACUAGCGCACAAAUAAAGGACAAAGAUGAAAUUACAGCACUGACCAAGCUAUUUGCUGAGAGGCUAUCAUUGCUGUACAUAAUCUUGCAAUGGAAGAGGAUAACUAGCAACAGCGGCAUUCCCAGUUUCGAAUCUGAUGCACCAAGAUUACCCAAGGAACGAGCAGCAGAAGUACCAAGUUUUGGGUGCAUCACCAAAACAGAUACUACAGAGCUUACAAGCGAUGAUAUUGGUACUGCAAGUAAUUAGACAGAGUGAGUUCCAUACCUGUUUUAAGGAUUACACAAAGUGAAACUACAAGGCAAUAUGUAAAAGUACAAGUACAUUCUUCAACCUGAUGACAGUGUUUUUGAAGAUGAGCCAUCCAGUGUAAGCUUUUCUCUAGCAAGGACUGACAGAUACUCGUUUAUUUGGUAUGUCCAACAAUUAGCUUCUGAAUAGUUUGCAGCCGAUUCCGGCAAUUCCUUGCAAAUUGCAUACUUCGUAAAAAAGAAACCUGAAGAUGACUGCAACUGGAAAGUAGAAUUAAUACAAACGUAUAUAUGAGCUACAAACGCAUAAUGAACCAGCUAUGAAAUCAAAGCGGCAUUUCUUGGGAGAGAAGUUGAGUGCAUCAGGAGCAAACAAUGGGUAGACCUAUACCCACAUGAAAACAUCAUUUUCUCUCUUCCAGAUUUGGAAACAGGGCCAAUAUCUGCGUGAAUAUUUACUCAGAAUAACACUAUAUAUAGGUAUUACUUAACAUACGUUAUUAACAGAAAUAGGUUGCGUGCAAAUAUGAGUUUACCAGUUAUCCCGCAUUUUGUACAAAAUUGCAAAAGCAUCAAUCCAGUGAAACAGGCAUGAUAAGCAAACUGCUGUGCUAUCCAAGGUUGGUUACUCGCCCUGAGCUCUAGGGAUACCAUUCAGAUUGUGACACCCUCAGGACAAAGCAGAACUCUCUUUAUGGACUGGGUCUAUGUCUAUGUAUUUGGUAAAGUAAUGACUAGUAAUUACGUUGGGUGAUGCCGGUGCCAGAUAUGGUUGUAAAUCUAAAAAUGUUAUAGAACAAUAUACUCAGGUUUUAAAACUAUUGCAGAAUAAACACAUCCAUAUAUGCAUAAAAACAAAGCUCUAACAUGCCACAUCAGCAGUGCAAUUGUUGAAGACGCGAAGUGUAGAAUUCCUAUCUUCUGGUGACUGUUGUCAAUACAAAUAUUUCAACGCAUACAUUGUGUGCAAAAGCAACAAAAAGUUCUGUGAUCAUCUCUAUCUCUCUACUAGGUGCUUUACACAAAAAAGGGAAAACGAGCAGAGUUGCAGCAUAGCAAAAAAAUAAGGGGUAAAACAUCACCUCGGACCAUAGAUGAUGUACAAGUUUAGGAAGGAUAAAGGUAGGUUUGCUUAUGUGGUGGACCAUUGAAAUGUCUUGUUGCUCUGAUGAACAAGAAGCAGGUAACUCCAAAACAAGCAAGCUAAAUCUUGACAGGAUAUGGGAUGCCACUGCUUUAACAGAUCUCGAUGGAGAAAUAACGAGGUUGAUAACUGGCAGAACACAGAGAAGCUCCUCACUGAAGUGAUGUACCACUUCAUUUGUUUUGAGCGCUGCAAGCAAAGAACAUCAAAUAUUAUGAGGAGCCAAGUUUUUAGUGUCUGUCAUAACUCAUAACAUGAAAGAAAAGCAAAUUAAAAAUUUAAGUUGUAGGUUGCAAAUGAGAGGGGGGAAGGGGAUUCUAAAAAAUUAGGGAUGUACCAUUUUCAUGUCUCCAUUCAAUCAAAAAGGCCAGAAGUUUCAAUCCAGCCAGUUGCUCAGAUUCAAACUCUAGCGCACUGAGAAUGCAGGAAAGAGAACUGAGAACACCAGAAAUUUCAGGAAGAUAGCAUAACCCAAGGUCCUUUUGCACAGCAAACAAAUAUUUUGAUAAUCCAAGAACUGCACAAGACAUUCCCAGAAGUUGGUGAUGAAGUGAACAUUGCGACAAAAGUAUUUCUAGCAACUCCACACUACUUGCUUGGGCAUCAUAGGCUGGCUGUUAAAAGAAGCAAGUUAUAGCACAAGUAUGAUGCAUUGCUGAUACAUAGGAAUUAUAUAAGCAUUUGAACUGAAGAAACUAAAGAAAGAAAAUUGACCCUAGAAGGCUAUAACUAACUGGUUAGUUGCCUAACUGGCUCCCUACCCCAGUUCCAUCAAUGGAUGGUGAAACAUAGAGGAGGCUCAUGUGUAAAUGCAGCACCAUACUAAUCAGUAUAUUAGGAAGUUAACCUACAGUACAAACGAACUAUGCCCAGGUGUAUUCCCUUAGCGAUUGUAUAAAUAUAUAAAAUUAACUCACCAUACAUUUCCAUAACUCCUAGGUUAUACUCCCUCCGUUCCUAAAUAUAAGUCUUUUUAGAGAUUUCAAUACGGACUACACACGGAUGUAUAUAGACAUACUUUAGAGUGGAGAUUCACCCGUACUGCUCCAUAUGUAGUUCAUAUUGAAAUCUCUAUAAGGACAUAUAUUUAGGAACGGAGGGAGUAGUUGACAAAAGAUUUAUAAACGGCAGGAGCAAACUGUUUGGUUCUGUGUUUUAACUCCACAAGCGUAGCCUAGAAUAUGAAUUUCCUGAGUUUCUAAAUUCAUAACCAACAUGACUGCAUUUUACAAUAUCAGUAAGACAAGGAUACAAUUAUUUACACAAAAUUAGCAGAUAGAACAUAGAAGAGCAGUACCCUUUGAGCAUGAGCUAACUUCCUCAGUAAUAGCACAUAUGCAUCGACCAAGCACUCCACAGAACUAAGCCAGAGCCGCCCUUCCUGAAGAAAAAGAAAUGCAGGCAACGUUAUGUGCAGAGUAAGAUAAUUUCCCCCUUUGAGGCUUUAACAACUACAAAAUACACUGCCAAAUACAUUCCCAGUUAUGCACAAUCAGCUGCAUGAACUUCAUGUGUUUUCCCUGCAUUGUGCACUAUCAACUGAACCCGACUAUAAACAAUAACAUUAGCAUCCAUAGGAACAGGAACCGUAACACCCGCAAUCGCUCUUGCCACAACAAGCAUUGCUCGAACACAAACGAAAUGCAAAACGACUGUGAUGUUGUUUAUGUGCCCUAGAUUCCUCGCAGUUUUGCAAACAACUGCAUUCCCCAGAAGAAGAAAAAAGAAUACCACCAUCGAUGAGGGAAUAGACCAAAACACAUACCUCCCCAUCCCCGCGGCCGAAAUGCAGCAAGCUCUCGCCGAGCAAUUUCAGCAAUGGGACCGCCGCAUCCGAUUUUGCCGCUGCAGUAGCCGCUGCGGCAAGCGCGCCGAUCAAAUCCCUCGCGAACGCGGUGUCCCCCUUCCUCACCACGGCAAACAUCACGAAAGGCCUCAGGAACCCCACCGCGCCGUCGACCCCCUCGGCCACCAUCCUGGCCGCCUGCCGCGACAGCUCCGCUCGCGCGCCGUCAGCGCCCGACGCGAGGGCCUGGACGAAGGGGUGGUUGUGGGGCGGGAAGCGUAAGCCAGCGGGGCCGGAGCGGAGGACGCAGGAAACGAGCGCGGCUACGGCCUUGACGAGGCAUGAGACCAGGCGGGGAGACGGGGAGGCGGAGAGGGGCGCGAUGAGGAACGGGAGGGCCUCGUCGGGGCCGAGGAGGUCGGCGCGGGAGGCCGCGAGGCGGGCGAGGGACGCGGAGGCGUAGGCGGCGACAGCGGCGUGCGGGGAAGCGAGGAGGGAGGAGAUGCCGUCGUGGGCGGCGGAGGGGAGAGGAGGGGGCAGCGUGAGGAGGUGGCGGAAGAAGGCCGCGACGGCGUGGCGCUGGAGUGUGGGGUCCGGGACGCGGGUGCGGUCGACGAGGCGGGAGAAGGCCGCGGCGCCGGACGAGGCGGAGGCCAUGGCGAUGCGGUGGCCGGAGACGGAGAUGGCUGUGGACUACUUGACUGUUGGGAGACUGGAGUAAAAGCUACCCGUACCAGGCCGAUCAAGUCGUCCAGAUGAGAUGGGCCAACUGUUGCGGCCUAACUCGACAAUCGUGGGCCUAAUCUUCUACGUUUCCCAUCAUGGCCAGUGUGGAUAAUUGGCCUUGCCUCAUAAACAAAUCGAAUAGUUGGUCUUUCUUACCCCUCAAAUCAAAAAAAAUAAAAAAAAAAAAUUGGCCUUUCUCCUUGUGUUUUGACGCUGUCGACGUGUGAGUCUCAAAUGAAAAACAAACAAAGUCUGUUUCGAGUAGAAUGUGGUCUGUAUCUCGCUCUCUCCAGCAUAAUCAUCAAUUAUGGUUCAAAUAUCCACAACAUACUAUGCCAAGCAUAGGAGCUCUAGAAACGUACCAAUGGGGAUUCCACACUCCCUCAGAACACUUUACUCCUUUGGUGGUCCACCAGCCACUCAAUCAUUGAUUUUUAUUUACAUUUAUGUUAUUUACUUCAAAGUAUGCUCCACUAUUCACUUAUAUUUAUUUUCACCCUCAUUUUGCUUUAAGUCUAUAAUUAUUUACAGGCAUAGAAAUAUAUAAUUCACUGCGAGAGGCAAAAUUUCAAUUCUUGUGUUGUCUUUGAGAUCGAUACUCUUCCUUAAAAAGCUACAACCAANNNNNNNNNNNNNNNNNNNNNNNNNNNNNNNNNNNNNNNNNNNNNNNNNNNNNNNNNNNNNNNNNNNNNNNNNNNNNNNNNNNNNNNNNNNNNNNNNNNNAAAAGUAUGGUCUAAAACGUAUAAUCAUUUGAAUUUACAUAAAAAAUGACUUAGUUUAACAAAAACGGUAAAAUAACUUAGGGUAAGAAUUAGUUUAACAAAAACGGUAAAAUAACUCCCUCUCCGUGACGCCGUCGUCUGCCGCCCCGUCUUGCGCUCUACCGCGACACCCUCUCCCAUCCCUUCCUCGCCCCCUCCUUUUGCCACCGCCCUUUCGCCACCGCCACCGCCACCGCCCCCCUUCUUCACUUAAUUAAUUUGUUUUUACUACAUGUUUUCAGGACUGACAUAAUGGCGGACGAUAGAGCUGACCCGAUUAUGGACAACUAUGAUCCGGACGGUGAAGCACAUAUGUUCGGCAUCAUAAACGGUGAUAUUCUAUAUGUGCCGACCGGAGAAGAAGAAGAUGAUAUCUCUUCUUAUCUGAACCUUGACGGUGAAGAUGAAGGGCGCCGUCAGCAAGAUGAUGCCGAACAAACGUCGAUAAACGACGAUCUUCAAAUGGAAGUAGCAACCACCUCCGGCGCCGAGGUAUAUAUAUACAUUGAGCCUCUGGUGAUACAAACUAACUGAUUUGAAUAAAUAUGUGUGUACUAACGUGCGCGACUCUCUUUCUUAUUUUAGCCCUCGGCCGGAUCGUCGAAACAAUCGAGUACGUCGUCAAAGCGUGGCGCAACCAAGACGAUGAAACAAGGAGAAACAUGCACCAUCGAGGUUGUCGACAGUGCAACCGGCAGGCCGCUGGAGCCCCGCAAGAACGCCACCAAGUUUGUCAGCCAAUGCGGAGCCGUUGUUAGAGACAACGUCUCGAUCACCGUCCAGGAGUGGAAUGAGCCAAAGAAGGCACGAAUUGCUGGUUUCACUUUUGUCGAUAAGAGAACAAAAAAAGAUUGCUUCAAGAAGCUUAUGGAACAUUUCGUUCUACCUCCGGAAUACAACAAAUUCGAUGAGGAGGGUAACAAGAUUGAGGAAAACAAGGAGAGGAGGAGACUAGUCAAACAGUUCGCUCUUCAUAAGAUGGCCGACGCAUUCCGGAAAUUCAAGCAAAAUCUAGCCCAUGACUUUGUCAAGCAGAACAAGACUCCGGAUUUCAAAGGACAAUAUGAGAAACUGAAACAUGAUUGGCCAGAAUUUGUGAAGCAAAAGAAAUCGGAGCAGUUCAUUCAAAUAUCGAAAAGAAAUAAGGAAAAUGCGGCUAAGAAGGAGUACAAUCAUAUUAUGGGGCCAGGAGGGUAUCGCAUUUGGGUGCCUAGGUUGGAGAAGAUGGAGAACGAGCUGAGGGCGCGAGGAAUCCGUCCAGGUACGGAGGGAUGGGACCAAAGGGCCAAAAGCUGGUGGUACGGGCAUGGGGGAACGCUGAACCCGAAGACAGGGGAGUGUGUUUACCGGGGCAAAUUAAUUAAACCCACCCAAGCCCUUAUUGACGCAAUGAGGGAUGCUCAAGAGGGGAAGAUCAAGUUCAACAGAGAGAACGACGCGCUGACAAAAGCCCUCGGGAAUCCUGAACACGGAGGACGUGUACGAGGCAUGGGGAACAUUCCGUGGAAAAUAGGGUUCCCCCAGAACGAUGACCCGUACGGUUACAGAAGCCGUAAGAGAAAGAUGGAUCGGGAAGCAGAUGUUGUGGCGCGGUUGGCAUCGGAAAUGGAUGUGAUGAAGAAAACCGUGAGUGUACUAUUAGCCGAAAGAGAUGUAGCUCGGGCGCAGCAUGAAGAUCAUCCAGCGGAUCUCGGAAGCCAGCAGCGGAGAAGCAGCGUGGCUUCCACGGAGGCCCCACCAGCUGGUGCAGAUGCACCGACGAUCGAAAUUACUGCAUCGGAGCCUCUGGUGGUCGAAAUUACUGCACCGGAGCCUCCUCGCUACCCCGUGGACGAUAUAAAGGAGAUGAAAGAAUGUCAUCUGUAUUAUCCUAUCGGGAACAUGUCCAUGAAGGUAGCCAUCGGCAGUGCUUUACCAUGUUUACCUGGAGCACUCCACCACAACAACCCCAUUCAAGAUGGCUAUGCUCGUGUCACGGUGGAGGACAUAGUCCAAGGGUUUGAGGACCUGGAGAUUGACAUUGCUACACCUGAAGGGGAGAAAAGACUUGGAGAUGUCAAGCGCCAUUUCAUUCUAUGGCAAAAGAAGUUUAUCAAGUUUCCAGGCGAGGCGCCAAGGACAACAAGUCCACCCCCCUAUGGUGGUGGUGGUGGCGGUGGCGGUGGUGGUGGUGGUGGUGGUGGUGGCGGUUCACCUACACCUCCGUCACGUCAGCCGACGCCCCCCAGUCCACAACGUCCGGCGGGUGAUCAGACGCCGCCCCCCAGUCCUCGUCCGGCGGGUGAUCAGACGCCACCCCCCAAUCCACCUCCGGCAAAGAAGCAGAAGCAGUCCUGGAUUAUUAACCCGGACCCUUAUGUACCUAAGACCACAAAGGUACCGGAGCCAUCACUGAAGCCUCUCCCCACAAGGCCUUGGGAACGUAGUGCCGAGGAAACUGCCGCGAGGGCGGCUGCUGAUCAUGAGAAAUGGAAGGCGGACUGCAAGAAGAAAAGAGAGCCCGAGCCCAAGCCAGUAUUUUCUGAUGAGCAAAAGAAGUGGGCUAAGUCAUUUUUGAGCACACCGUCCCAAGCCGCGAAGAAUCUGCCUGACGACUAUGCACGUGAACUUCGUAGGCAGGCAUUCAUGUUGAAGGAGAAGAAAGAGCGGGCGGAGAACCAGGAGAACAAAGCCUUGGAGGAGGCCGAGAAAACGGAAUUAGAAAGUAAAAAAAGCGGGAAACGAGUUGCCCAGCUCGGGGAACAAAGUAAACAAUCGAUUGCCCCGCUUAUAGUGAAAGCCGCCGGUCCGGAUGACCCCGAUAUCAUAGCAGCUGCGGCAGCACAUGGAUUGACUGUAACGAGUGCCAGAGAACAAGCGGCCAACUUAGGUAUUACUCUUCGUGAAAUGUUAGGCCUUGAUGAGGCGCCAGUGAAGGAGGUAGUAAUUACAUAUGUGAAGAAUGGGCCUCUCGUCGAGCCUGCGCAGGAAGAGGAUCUACCUCCACAAAUGAAAGGUCUGCUGAAAUGGUACAAGGGUUACAUAAAAAAUAAAAACGCCAAAGAUUAUAUUUAUGCGGAAGUUAGAUAUGAGCAUCACUUCAAACAUUACUAUGUACAAAUUCAUCUGAGUGAAUUGUUCCAGCUUUUCAAUCUGCGCGAGCUCGACAAAUCUAUCAUCAGUUGCUACGUUCUGUAAGUGAUUUAUUUAUACCCCAUCUCGUUCAUAUUGCCUGCACUAUAUAUAUGUCGUAACCAUAUUGUUGUGUCCGCUAUUAUACAUGCAGAAUGAAGAUUAAGGAAUGCAGAGUAAGGAACAUCCAUGAUGUUGGGUUCAUUGACCCACACAUCGUUAAUGGAUAUGUGUUGGAGCAUCACCCCGCCGACAUGGAGGCAGACCUGUGGCAGUUUCUUACAAAGCAGGAACUCAAAAGUGAUAUUCUAUUUCCUUACCAUUUUGGGUGAGUGUUUCUGUCUUGAGCACAUUCUCUUUUGUUUACUCCAUGCAUGGUAUGUGGCCGGCUAAUCGAUGAGUUAUGCAUGACGUACUGUGCAUGUAUCGUGUCCGCAGGUUCCACUGGAUUCUGCUAGUAAUUAAAGUUGACACCUCAGAAUGUCUCGUCCACGACUCUCUGAAUAUGGAUCCAAAGCUUUGGGGCGGCAUGAGAAGAAUGCUGCAGAAGUAAUUAUUUUCAUUCAUUUGCGCUCUAUAUCGAUCGGCCUAUUUCGUUCAUUUCCUAAUAUCAAGUAACUAAUAACUCUCUUGUUCAUUUAAUUUUCUUUGCCUCGUAGGGUUUGGAGACGGUUCGUAGAUACAAAGGUCGGUGAAUUCAAAAAAGAGCUAGAAUUCAAAAGGUCAAAGGCUAAGAAUGGUGGGGAUAUUCAGCCAGCGGGGACCAAUCUAUGUGGAUACUAUGUCUGUGAGAUGAUCCCGAGAUACACCUCUGAGCGGGUUCCGAGUGAUACCAAUGCUCAGCGGAAUAACCUCCGGGUGAUGCUUAGUCCAGAAGCUCGCUUCCGACCACUUCAAGAGGAACUAGCUGGAUGGUUCAGGAGGGAAGUCCUCCAUCGUAAAGGAGAACACCAUUACGAGGACGUAGAACCUUAUAUGCAUUAAAUUAUGUAUGGAAACUUGUUCAAAAUUGUAUAUGGUCAUCCGAUGAUAUUGAAUAUAUAUUGUAUAUUCCUCUUGAAUUCUUUUUGGUUCUAAUUUCAAAUUUGUUUGAAAUUGUACAUUCAUAUGCAUGUAUGUAGUACCGUAGAAUAUGUGAAACUCCUUCAAAAUUAAAAUAAAGCACAAAAGAAAUAAAACAAUACAAAUUAAACAGAAAACAGGUUUAGGGGGGGUUAAACCCUGUGGCGGCCUUUAGUCGCGGUUGGCCAGAAAAACCGCGACUAAAGGUCCUCCGCCCCGACGGCCGCCUGGCGCCCACGUGGACGGGCCUUUAGUUGCGGUUCUUAAGAAACCGCGACUAAAGGGGGGGGCCUUUAGUCGCGCCUAUUUGGUCGCGGUUGCGCAACCGCGACUAAUGGCAGUUGCGAACCGCGACCAAAGGCCCUUUUUCCACCAGUGUAACCAGCUAGGUACCUACUUGUGUGCUUGCAAUGUUAGGGCAACUCCAACUCACGAUCUCAUCUGGAUGUCCAUUUUAUCCAAAUUUUGUCCGUUUAUAUAACAGGGAAAUGGACACGUCCGACCACUUACGUUCGUGCUACUAUCGACGCGCCCAACCGGCCUGCCGCAUCCCAAAGUAUCAACGUGUGCAUACUUAAAUUUUGUCAAAAAAAAACCUCAAAUGAACGUUGGAAAUAAUAUAAAACCAUAAAUAAAAACAUUAAAACGUCCAGACGUCCAUAGUAGCCAAAUUUAACACAUUUCUUAAUUAAACAUAAAACAUAAGAAAGAUAAGGCUCGUCGCCGGUGAGGCCGUUGUCGUUUUCAUGAGUGUCGUCCUACUCGUCGUCUUUGCUAGUGAGGUCGACGUAUGGAGGCGGCUACCAAAGGUGGGUUGGUGGCGCCUGCACCGCCUCCUCCCGUGGCUCCUGCUCCUGCUCGGGUGACCGUGGUGGCAUCGCUGACCAUGGCCCGACACCCAGCACGUUGGCCAUCUCUGCCGUCGUGUUCGACCAGCCCCAUUGUUGGCCCACCAACUGUGGGUUCCACGUGGCAAGGGGCGGCUCGUCCAUCACCUCCUCCUUCACCACGACGGUCUGCUCCAGCUCCGGGAUGGCCACGUCGUCGGCCGCAUAGAGGGCCAAUGUUGUCUCCAGGCCCACCCACUGGUGCUCGUCGUGCGUGUUCAUGGAGUCCUCCAUGACACGCCUUAUGAGCUCAGUCUCCUCCUCGGUCAUCGGAGGUGGUGGUGGCGGGGAUGGGGACAGAAUGGCGUUGGCGUGAGGCCGCACACAUGCCUAUGCCAGCGCAUUUGUGGCGGGCUAGCAGCACGAUGCCAGCGUGGGCUAGGUGGACGACCGACAAAAAAAGACUGAUGUCGCAGGUCAUGCUUGUCGUAGAGCCACGUAUCCCACAACAGCGAGUUCAUGGCGUACCUUGGGUCAUCGAGCAAAUUUGGUGGUAGGCGCGUGCAGCGUCGGUCGAUCUCCUCAUGGCGGGCGCGGCCGCUCAUCGGGACCGGAGGGAUUGGCACCCGAUGCGCAGAUAGAUGACAGUAGUUGGGGAGGUGUGCAUCUCCCUAAGGGGUGGUGUUGUCGUCUCCUAGUACCUACUACAGAUGUUCGCGGAGACAUAGGGCCGAACGCGUUGCGAGGCCGCAGGUGGCACGAUGGCAAAUGACGGCGGAGACGGUGGGGGGGGGACUAAAGCAGUCAGAGUGGCGCCUACCAGAGGAGGAGCCGACCUCAUGGUCGUGCUUCCCCUUGCUGGUCCAAGACCGGGUCGUGGCGAUGGCCACGGGGCUAGGGUUUUGCUAGUUCCUGACAGGGCUGGAGGAGGCAGGAGGGGCCGGAAGUGGAAGUUGUGGACUGACCGGUCCACGGCUUCCAUAUUAAGAAGGACGAGGACCCGCCAGUUGGGUCGUUGAAAGUCGGGAUCCGCCGCACGCCGGCGUUUAAUUUGAACGGUGAAGGUAGUUGGAAGGCCGCCACGCAUCCUUGAUGCGGACAAGGAGCAAACGUGUGCCCGUUCUUUCACCGUCCAUGUGGAUGCAAACUGGGUGCAGAUUUGCAUCGGAAAUGGAGCGAGCCAAACGAACAUUUUUAUGAUUGUGAUUGUGAUUGCACGUUCUGCCAGCUUGUCUGUUUGUUUUACCCCAAACAAAAGUACGUGAAGAGAAUUAAUAGCAUCUCUAACACACCUCGUAAAAAGGCCGAAUCGGGAUAAUUUAAGCGAGUAUACGGACUCGACUUGUUUUGCUAGCCAGAACAGACUCCGUAUCGCGCACCCGACCCAUAAGAUUNNNNNNNNNNNNNNNNNNNNNNNNNNNNNNNNNNNNNNNNNNNNNNNNNNNNNNNNNNNNNNNNNNNNNNNNNNNNNNNNNNNNNNNNNNNNNNNNNNNNNNNNNNNNNNNNNNNNNNNNGAUAUGGGUCAAACCCUAUCCUCCGCAUCUCCCACUCUGCCCGGCGAGCCAAAAACCCCCACAACGGGCCGUCCCGACCAUGGACGGGCACGGAAAUGGAGGGGAUGACACCGAAGGUCGCCGCCGCCGCGCCUCCGACACCGCACGCAAACAGGGAUCGCGGAAGUGGCUGAAUUACGGUCGUCGGUCCCCGCCAGCUUUCGAACGCCGCGAGCUCGAGGAGUACGAGCGCGAGCUCGCGACCCGACGCCGCAGCUCCUUCGGCUCCUCUGUCGUUGGGAAUUCGUCUGCGGGCGCCUCGUCCUCGCGGACCAUCACUCUGGUCAAGAGAAGGCUGGAGGAGCUCGGGCCGCUUGCCGUCAAGCUCGAGGACAACGUCGUCCCACCGCGUGGAGGGGUCAUCGCCCCCGAGGACUACCUCUCCCCGAGGGAGGAGGAUCACCUCAUGCGCACCAUCAUGAAGCGCUCGGUGGGGGAGGCAGAGGAGGUCGCCGCGCGCAACCGCCGCGAGCUCGAGAUUGAGCAGAUCUUCCUUGAGCAAGGCGUCACAGCGUCGCACGCGGGCGCAUCCAAGGAGGCGGACAUGCGCGUCAUGAAGGCCGAGCAGACCAAGGUCUGAAUCGACCUCGACACCGACUCGAACGAGGACUGAGCUCCUCUGGCUCCUCCGCCGCGUCGUCACCUCCCUCCCCCCUUACCUAGUAGUAUGAAGAACUGAUGUAGUUUCCUGAUGAAGAAUGGUGUAGUUUGAUGAAGAACCAUGAUGUAGUUUCAUGCAUGUCUUUGCAAGUUUCAUCCGCGAACAUUUUUUUUUAAAUUCUACAGUUUCAUAUACGGGGUCAGAUCUUUAACGUACAAAUUCGCCCCACAAAAUUAAUUUGCAACGGACUGUAAACGCAUUUUAUGGGUGGCUCAUUUACCAGGUUUGCUAGAAUGCUCUAACGUGAGAGUUGGCCUGAAGAUCAAAGACGGUAGUAGUAGUACUAGUAAGCGGCGUGGGGUGGGGGUGGGGGAAAGAAAGCAUGGAUGGAUGGAUCAGCUCAUGGGUCCUCGCGGCACAGAGGCGAGGUUGCACCGCACUGUGGGGAGGCACAGUCCCUUUGAAUUCUGGUCACGAGGGGCGGAACCUGGGAAGGGUCGCGGUGCCACGGGCGUGCAUGGAACCCGUACUUUGUCGACGGAAUAGAGAAUCCUGCACUGUGUCUCUCUGGCCCCAUCGCCAUGGGUGGGGUGGGGUGGGGCUGCCCAGCUGUUUUUUAUCAGCGCUGCCUCGUUGCGUCAGCCUCCCGUCUUUCAAACCCUUGUCGAUCACAGGAUCAACGUCUGUUUUGCUAUCUGGUGUGGCGCAAACAAGCAGGGAUAAUAGUUGCCAAAUAUAGAAUCACUGGCCUGUGCCUGCAGAGUCCCACGUUGAUUGUCGAGGCACAUGCACCGUGUUUCCGCUGCGCUUUGAUUAUUGGGGCCGAUCAUCCCCGGCCGUGACAUGAUCAUCUGACGCCAGUUUCAUUAUAAUUAUACGCAUUACCCUUGGCUGCAUCUGGCCCCCUGUGAGAGUGUGGAGCCGGAGAGCUGUUCCUGUCCAUCAGUUUCUGUGUUGGCCUAUCGCAUGCAAGUCGAGAUUGAUUACGUGACCGGCAUAUCAAGGAGGAUAUAUUUAAAGACCCCUUGUCCAGUUUAAUCACUCGCAGGGAAACACAAGAAUGUUGAUUUUUGCGCUGCUUAUAAUAAACUGGCCCAACGCAUCUUCAUGCGUCCGUCCAUAUAUAUCCUUUUUCAGCAGGUUAAACUUGGACCAAAUCCAAGAAUAUAUUGAUGAUUUUUGUAAAAAAUAAUGCAUGUGCUUCGAUUGUAAGUUCCCCGCUGAAGUAGUGUAUCUGGUUUGCUAUAAAGCAUAAUCACCAUAGCACAGUGUACAAACCCUUCAUAGCCACCACAAGAGGAUAAAUUAUUGCACCUUUCAGCGAUCUGCUGGCAAUACAUUGGACUCGCAGCCAUGUGAUUGGUUGGCUUUGGGGCCGGGCGCUAUGAUAGGCUCAUGUUAUACUCGAGGGGAUAAAAUAAAGCGAUAGCGAAAGGACACGACUUUGAUAAUAAUUAUUAAGAUUGUUUGGCAGAAUCUGCUAACGGGUACAGCCCCAUGGCCAUGGAUAUCAUACUCAAGAAAAAGCGUAAGCAAAGCAAAGGUUUCCUGAGACAUCCAAUUGGUUCCUUCAUGGAAACAUCCAGGCAAAGACGUUUGUUUGCAGGCCGUGGCCGUGGCCGUGGCCGCGCGGCUGCAUGCACUUGACAGCAUAUCUGAUCACAAAUAUAUAAAGGAAGGGAGAUCCAUCCAUGGAGAUAAGAGAAUCCGCGUGAAAGCAAUGGAAGGUUUUAACGGCACUGCUAGACGAUCUGCCAAAGGCCUUUGGGUGGGUGGAAGGGGCGCACUAGCAUGUCGAUUUAUUAGCGGCCAUGGAACGAACAACGGGGGGAUAUUGAUUCCGCCGGGGGCUCCUUUAUCUCGCUCGUCCGUACAAGAGUUGUGUGCCUAGAUGGAAGCUACCAACGUGCAAAAGUGACACCUAGCUAGCUCGCUGUUGUCUUUAGAUUUGACAUUCUCUAUUCAAUCUUUUAUUUCUAUAUAGUUUUUUUAUUCACCUUCCGGGGAACAGUUACAACCUUCCAAAAUUACCAUUUCUAACUGUAUCCUGCAAGCUACUCGAGACAUAUUCUUAAAAGUCGUAGGCAGAGCAGUAGCAAAUUGUGAACGAGUGACAUCCAUCAUGGGGAAAGGCUAAAUGCAAUGGACAUACAAAAGAGAUGGUACUACUGCUAGCCUUUCUGCGGUUAGUUCCUUUUCUAUUUUUGGAAACGCUGGUAAGUUCUUAGGACAGAUUCCAUCAAAUAAAAAGUCAAUACAAUACUUUAAAAGGAAAAGAGGAUUUAAGAAUCAAAUGCGGUGCUUUUGUGCUGGGGUCUUUCAGCAAGAAUGAGAAUCAUUUUUAGUUAUUAGUUUUAUAUUUGAUCAUUUGCAUAGUGAUAGAGCAGCACCAGAUUUUCUUUGCUUUUCAAGUGUAAGAGGAGUUGAUUAGACUGUACCUGCAGCCUGAAAGAUGUAAUGUAGCCACCAAGAAGAUUGUGGGAUCAUAUCCCAGAAAGCUCAGACUAACCUACAACAACCCUUUGAGAUGCUGGUGGAAAGGGCUAACAAUGACCGGCGACCCACACUGCAUUGGAAACUGAUGGAGGUAUCUUCAACGAAGCUUAGGUGAGUACCCGCCAUCAGGUUCUGACUCGAGUCAAAGGCUCUCUGCAUGAACCAUAUCAAAUGCCAGCAUAUUUAGAGAAACAUAGUUUAGAAAUAUUACUUCCCAAAAUUAUUGUCUAAGAUUUGUCUAGAUACGGAUGUAUCUAACACAAACAUAACUAGAUACAUAUUUGGAAAAAUCUAAGAUAAGAAUGUUGGGACAGAGGGAGUACUAUAUAGGGAACAUAACCUCUCUAGGACAAGACAUAUGACAUAUGAUAAGGUUUACCUGUAAUGAGAUCCAGGUAAACAUGCACUAAACUUUUCAAUCUCAGGCUGAGGCCUCUGGUGACUACUUUUUCUCCAGCACUCUCUUCAAAUUGUUUGGCGAUAAGAAAUUGUUGCAUAGCGCAAUCAAAUUCAGAAGACAUAGCAAUUUUAACCUCCGGUUAUCUUCCACCAAAUUAUGUUUACACUAAAAACCAUCACUUAUAAUGUAUCGGGAGACUGUUAACCUAAAAUUAUAUAUACAACAAAGGCAUGGCUACAUCAUCAGUUAAAACAGCAAUAAUAUGUGUUCUAGACAAAUAUGCUAUGUCAUACAGAUCAUUAGAAGGAAAAUCAGUUGUCCUUAAAAUCAUAGUGCCUCCAGGUUUGCAAGCUUUAGCUGUUUAUCUACAGCCAAGUGAUCUUCCACCGCAAUGCAUGUAGAGCGCAGCAUGUUCGCAAGAAAAGUUGCGUUCUCAGCUUCACUUCCAUGAAUAUGAUCAUGACAAAGAAGGCCCUCUCCACGAGUCAAUUGUUCUGCCCAUGUGUAGAUGCGAGUGGUCAACAACCAUAACUUAUCAGCGACAGAGUUUCUAAGGUCAUCCCAAAUGCUGCUGGAGAGAAAGGAAGGCAGCGUGACGGGCAAAUCACUCAGUACGUUUGUUGGAUUAACAAUGAGAAGUGGCAUAUAGAUACAACAGCUACCACAUAGCAGGCCAACAAAACGCAGUGCCUGAAAUAUUAGAGCAAAGAGGUACGUAAGGCAAUGAGUGACGGUAAGUAAUUCAUGUUCAUGUUUGGGGUGAUGCACUAUCAGGACAUAUUGCAAGUAAACAUUUACCGUGGAGGGAUGAGCUGUAACACAGCUAAUGUCUAAUGCAUCCAAAAGCCACUGCUUCUUUAUACCAUUGUCAGCAGAGUAUACAGCUGCUGCAACCUCAACAAGAACGUUCCACCAGACGCCUGAAACAAUAUUUGUUUGUUACCUUCAAUGGUAGAAGGGUGGGCGGGAGAAAAGGAAUGGAAAAUAUAAAGACUGAACACUACUCAUAAGCAUGGCCCAGCAACAGACAAACAGGAAGUUUUGAAGCACAAGCCAAAGCUGAGGGAUGCAGUUGCUGUUACCAUCAGCUGUUGUACUCAGUAUGGUAGUCUUUAUGUUCCCCAGCUCAAGUGCAGAAACGCAACCAGCAAAACACAACCUUGCCCUGAUGAUAAUCUUCCUUGCUGCAUCAACAUGUUCUCCUUCACUUAAGGCGGUGGUACUGUGCACCUGAAAAGAAAGGUGAACGUUAAGUUGUGAAAUAGAAAUUACAUAGGAAGUAUUGGGGAAAUACCCAUUGGCUCUCGGGUGCAUAUCCACCAGAUAUGGGGAAAAAACAGUAAUUACAAAAAGAUCAACAAGGAUUCAAACUUUUUUUGAACAAACUUGACCCUAGUUUGUGCUCAUAUAAAGAAGUUUUGUCCAAAAGAACUCCUGUCAACUUCUGUGCAAAAAAAAAAAAAACUCCAACGGCAAAAAAAUGUGAAUAGUAACUUGCAUAUAGUGUUUUUUGUCCACAAUACCCUGACAGGUAUUCCUUGGCAAAACUUUUAUACGCGUAUACCACUUGAUAAUGUUUGUUGCCAAAAAGUUUCAGGAUUUUCGGACUUUUUUGACAACUAUCAUAGUGUCAAAAACCAUCUUAUGUUUUGAUACAGCGGGAGUAAUUUUAUUUUUUUAAUUCAGGUGCAAAUGCACCUGAGAGCCAAAUGUCCAUCCCUGGAAGUAUGGAGCUCGCUAAAACAGAUAACUAAUGUGAAACUAUUUGUGAAGGAAAACUAGAAGAGCACCUGCAGCAUAUCACCCGGCCAGCUUUUCUGAGCAACAAUGAGACACUUGAUAGCAGCAGACCACUCAUCCACGAAUUCAGGUUGACCAUCGUUACAUAGAUACAAAAGAGGUAACAAGCAUUCAAUGCAUUUCUUAACAUAAGAGAAACUGUCAGUCUCUUCAGAGACCACCUCCACCAGGCACUUGCAGAUGCCUUUCCAGAACGACAUUCUUAACAUGCUUCUCUGCUCAGAAGAGUAAUCCAAGUAUGAAGAUGAGUGGGAACAGAAGUACACAGCUAAAUCGUCGUACAGUUUCUUAGAUCUUGAAUCAGAGAAGAGCUUCAUUAGGUGUGACAAAUAUUGGAGCAAAACAGACUGCACGUUCAUUUCUAAUCUCCUGAACCUGGGUAAAUCUGACAGAUCAUCCAAAAACUGCAGAAGAGGACUGACAUGAUCGGCAUGAGCUAGAGAAAAGUAUAAGCAUUCUUCCCUUAAUAAUGUAGGAUCUCGAUGAUUGGUUGACUUAUGAGGAAUUUGUGCCUUAACUUUCAUGCACCGCCGCACUAUGACCCCCCAGUCUAUAGCUGGCACUCUAGGAGCUUUAGUAAGGCAUUUCAGAACUGUCGCAAUUGUAUUUACUGGCACCACAUCACCAGGCUGUAGAUAGUAAAAUAAUGUAAGUCAAUAAAAAAUGACCAUCAAAACAAUAGUUGCUAAGAGGAUUCACACAUGACACCAAACUGUAAACUUGCUUCACUACGAAAAUAUCCAUGCACCAUGACCCAAAUUAUCUGUCAAGAUUGAAAUUUAGUAUCCGAUAACCAAAACUACUAUCUAGGACGUAGAAGAGCAUAUGCAGUCAUCAGAAAUUUGCGUCAAAUACAAGAACAACUUAAUGUAAGAUAUGCAUGUUUAUCAAGAGGAAUGCAAAAGAAAGAAAAUGCAUGUAUGGGUAUUUGGCAUCACCAGCUUUUUGUGUUUUCAAUGCACAUCUUAGCCUAUGUAAACUGCGAGUUGAAUAAAGUGCACUCUCUUUUUCUAGAAUACUUUCUUUAAUAAGUGUACAACAUUAAAGCCUGAUCUCGAGAGCUCAAGUUAUUCUUUCAAGAAAGAUUGAGAUCAAACCUUUUCAAAGUUAAGAUCCCUCAGCCAGAGACUUAAGUUCCACACUAAGCUUUCAGCAGAAAAACUUGUUGAUUGACUGGAAUCAACGGGAUUUCUUUGAGAAGAAUCAUUAUCAUUAAGACUCUGAUUCUUUAAUAACCACCCACUUCUAAGAAAUGAUACAGCCCAUGCAGCAUAAUUCUGUAUGUGAUUAUCCUCUGCGUCCUUGGCAAGAAGAAAUAUUUCCUGAACCAUUGACGUUGAAAGAGUCUCGCCAACAGGACUUGUAAGUAGAGGACCUCGCACCAAAGAUGACUCCUGUGCCCAUAAAAAAAUUACUCUUAGUGUUACAGAAAAGUAAAUGCCUCCCAAAUGAGGUCUUCUCAUGCUUUAUCUGUGAAUUACUGGAAUCAACAGGCAUGCGGGCAAGGGGAGAGACCUUCUCAUGCUUUAUCUGUGAAUUCAUUGAUUGCCAACCAAUCCCAGUGAGGUCUCCAGCACCUGCACCAAAAGCGUUGACAGCACCGAACAUGCCUCCCAAAUGGACAAGAGGAGGAUACGGAUGGGUGUAUAUAUAUUUAAGAGUGUCGAGAAACUUCUUAAUAUCAGCAAAUUUCAUGGCAUGCACCCCGUCAUUCAAUAUGCCAGACAGCAAAGAUCCAGCACCGAUACAGAUACCCAUCAAUAAAUUCUGAAAGACAGUUCCAGAUUUCUUGAGAUUCAGGAGUUCAGUAGCUAAAGAAGUGUAGCGAUUGAACAGAGCAUCCAAAUCAUCAUUCAGUAACUCCACUCUCUGGCAAAAUGCUAUGACAGAUGGCAGAGCAAGGCAAGAGCCCAUACACAGGGAUACUGAAUUUACUUCAUCAAAUAGCACAGAGCUUGAAUCAACAUCUGGUAUCCAUGAUAUCAAUAUGUUCUUGAUUUCAAUAACGUCUUCAUAAGCUCCAAGCCUAUACAGAGCAACAACAGAGUUUCCCAGACCAAGAACAAGUCCCGCAAUAGCCCAAGGAUCAUCAUCUAAGCUGUCUAAAUUUUCUUCCAUUCCUUCCAUGGAGAAUGUUCCGCAGAUACUUAGUUUCUUGAGAGAAUGACAUGAGGAUGGACAUAGUUUAACUAAUGAAGCAGUCACAGUGUGAAGAACUUCUUUAACUGACGCACGUUCAUUGAAUUGUGUAGUUGCUUCUAAGUCUGAAUCAGAUGUACUAUCUGCUCUGGUUAGAAGACCUUGGCAAGCAUAACCUAAUCCCAGUCCACAAGCUCCUUUUACAAGAUAACUAUCAGCAUUUGAGAUAACCUGGAUGCAAAAGGGCAUAAUACAUGGUGAGAAACUUAUAACAUAUACUCCCUCUGAUCCAAAAUAAGUGUCACGUUUUAGUUCAAUUUUAGUUCAAACUUGAAUUAAAACCACGACACUUAUUUUGGAUCGAAGGGAGUACAUACUCAUUAUAUCAAACUAGCACAAUGCCCGUGCGUUGCUACGGAACUAUAUAAUACGAGGAGUUGGGUCACUGGCUUAGGAAAUUGUCAAAAUACAUUGGCGCCAUGCGGAAUUUGCUCGCGGUUAUCAAAAAUAUCACAAAGGAUCACGCGUCAGGCAUUGAAGAAUCUUAAGUGACCAUGGUCCUUUACAGACACAAUAUUUCGAAUGUUGAAACAUAUGGGAAUAUACAUUGGUAAGUUAACUGCACAAGUUGUGGAUCAGGUAGGAGGAUAAGGUCUAUCGUCAUUUUGGAAUUACAAUCUAUUCACUCUCUUGUUCUGUGAUAUAAAACUGAAAUAACUUGGCUGGGAAAGAAAGAAAAAGAAAAACAACAACAUUAUAUUUAGUUGGAGUCGCAUUCUGCAUUUGUUAUUUGUGCCUAAGUGUUAGCCUCUCAUGAAUAGUAGUGUAUUGUUUAUUUGUUUUUGAUCCGGCAUGUGAGUACAAGUACAUUUGUUUAUUUAUGUUCAUGAAAGGUUGCUACUCUCAAUGUGGGUAGGGAUGCAUUUGUUUAUUGGUGAAGGUUGUUGGUCCCACAUGUGAACUCACCACCAACUCCUACCUUUAUAAGUAGGAAAGAUAAUAAUAGUCCAAUAAAGCAUGUCAAAACGAGAUGCCAGAAUGAACAUAUACUAGGCAUUGUUUGCUGCAUGAAACAAGGCAUUAUAAGCUCCUGACAGUACAGUGAAGCUGGCUGGAAGCUAUAUUUAUAGGUACUACUAGCAACCGCCAAGUAAUCUUUCACAAAAACAUCUCUGGCAGCUAGGCAUGCGAGUGACACGUGUGUUGGUAACAUUGAAUGUUUGUCUGUGAAAGUAAUCAAGAAAAAUGGUUCUUGGUAUCUAAUUAUAUAUUACCUCUGCCCAAAUUAGUUGUCUUAGAUUUGUCAAGAUAGGGAUGUACAUGUACCUAACACUAAAACGUGUUUAAAUACAUCCGUAUCUAGACAAAUCAAAGACAACUAAUUCAAGACGGAGAGAGUACUUUUUAGAAAAGAACAAUCAACCUAGUACAAAAAAGUUGAAAUAUCAUGGAGAGCGAAAUCAUGUACCUCAAAGAGUCCAUCGAUAACCUGAAGCUUGCUUUUUUUGUCCGUGGGAUGAAAACAAUUGAAUAUUAGUCCCAAAGAGAUAGCUGCAGACCACUGUUGGUGCUCAUGCUCAUAUUGUAGCAACCAUUUCAAAAGAAAAUCAGAUGCAGAUGAGAUUACUAGAUGAGCAGUUGGAGGAACUACCUGCCAAUAGGACAAGAUGACAGCAAUUACAUCAAAAUCGAGAACCACUCAGGAACACACCAGAAAUACCGUAGAGAUACAGACUGUAUUCUUCAAUGCUAGAAGGCUAAAAGUGAGCCAAUAAUAGUAAUGCUUAGAAUAUAUGCUUAAGUCAGAUGUUGGUUUCUGACUUUCUGUGUGUUUCGGGUGUAUUUAUAGAGUUGUGUUUUCCGUGCGUUUAGCUGAGCUGUGAAUGCUAGAGAAAUUAAAAUUUGUUCACAUAUUGCUAGAGGAGCACACACACACAAAAAAAACGCAGCUAGGUGUUGCACAGGGUCCGGGUGUUGAAGUGUAUGUGGAUUGUCUAGACCUUUUCAUCAGGUCAGACUUUUGGGUGCAUUGUUCUAGUGCAUGAAACUCAACACCGGGGACGGUCUGACCACUUUUGGUCUUUUGUACGCAGCCUUCUCUAUAUGUCUGCAAGAGGCUGUUUCCAGAACUCGAACCCAUGACCUCAUGGUCACAAGGCAACAGCUUUACAGCUGUGCCAAGGCUCCCCUUCGCUAGAGGAGCACACAAGAAAAAUCCAAAUUAGAAGGGCAUGAAGGAAAUAGAGUGAAACUCUGAUUAAAUCAAUUAGAACGGGGAGUAACCAUGAAUACCAGCCAUUAAACCUGAGAAUGGUUUCAUACUUGAACCAUACUUCAACCAUACCCGUACAUUUAUCUCUUAAAACCAUACUUGAACCAUACCCAUUCAAUGUCAUUUUCAGCCCAACCAAAACUGAACCCACUAUUUUUUCCACCCAAACCAAUCUAAACCCAAUACAUAAUAGUGGGUUUAAACCCAGUACAUAACUAUGGAUUUGCUUUAAUGUACAUAUGAUUGCACAAAUUGACAUGUUAAGAAGCAAAUGAGAUAUAAAAGGCAUAAGUGCAUCUACAACAGGUUUUUUUUCGAGAAAACGCAAAAGACUUUUGCGUUUCAUUGUAUUGAAAAGAUAGGGUUUAUGUUACAAUCCUCCUAGGAGGUGGUUACAGGGCCAGGAAAAGAAAAAUCAGUGAACACCCCAAGUCUGUGGGAUCGCGGCUUUGAGGCCGAGCGCGCCUGCCCUAGCCCAAAGCGUCGCUUCCUCCUUGAUCUUCGCAAUCAAGCUCGUGGUCAAGGGUUGUUCAUUGUCAAACACGCAGGCAUUUCUGUGUUUCCAUGUCAUCCAAGGUACGAGCAGCGUCAUUGAUGCGAGCCCUUUGCGCAUAAGCGUGGGCGCGGCUCGUCUCGCGGUGGACCACCAAGCAUUGAGCGAUUCCUCGCCAUCCGGUGGGCGACAGGGAAUCCUUAGCCAGGCCAGGGUUUCAUGCCAUACUUGUCGGGAGAAUGGGCAGGCAAGGAGGAGGUGGUGCAUAGUUUCCGGUUCUUGGUCGCAGAGGAGGCAUCGUGGGUGGUGCUGCAGCCCUCUCCUGGCUAGCCUGUCUGCCGUCCAGCAACGAUCGAGCCGGGCGAGCCAGUGGAAGAAGCGGACCCGCGGCCGCGCCCAGCACUUCCAUGUGAGCUUCCAGGCAUCGCAUGGGAUGGAGCCGUGGAAAGUAGCCUUGUAGGCCGAUUGCGCGGUGUAAGUGCCGCUAGUGGUCCACUUCCAGAUCAGGCGAUCAGGCUCAGCAGAGAGCGCCGUGGGUUCGAUCUUGUGCCAUAUCUGAAGGUAUUGCCCAACCUCUUGGAUACCAAGCACACCAUGGAUAUCACGUGCCCACUUAUGAGCCUGCAGCCCAUCGGCCACGGAUCGCAUCUUGCGGCGGUGCUUGGGGAUGCAUGCAUAUAGCUGGGGUGCGAUUUCUCGGAUGGCAUGCCCCUCGAGCCAUCUGUCCUCCCAGAAAAGGGCCUGCUGGCCGUUGCCGAGCUGCAUGGUGGUGGAGGCGAAGAAGAGGUCGCGCUCUUCCGUCGAGAACUGCAGGUCGAGGCCGCUCCAUGCCCUGGUGCUGUCCGUGCGACUGAACCAGAGCCAGCGCAGGCGCAGCGCCAGGCCGGAGCGCUCCAGGUCCCGAACGCCGAGGCCACCCAAGGAGAUUGGCCGCGCAACGCGUUGCCAAUUGACGUGGCAGUUACCUCCCUGGGCAUUGGCGCGCCCCGCCCACAGGAAUCCUCGCUGGAUCUUUACCGGCGCUUGGAUUGUCUUCUUCGGUGGAGCUAGCACGAGGAGCUGGUGGAUGGGGAUCGCGCUCAGGACGGCUUUGACGAAUGCGAGGCGACCGGCCUUGUUCAUGAGGUGUGCCUUCCAGCACGGGAGCAUGCCGGCGGUUCUGUCGACGACGGGCUGUAGCUGGGCAGCAGUUGGGCGCCGCAGCGUCAGCGGGAUGCCCAAGUAGGUGAUGGGAAGAUCCACGAUGGGGCACCCCAGUAGGUCGACGACAGGCGUGGCUGUGGCGGGGUCGCAACGGAUCAACGUGGCCGUGCUCUUCAGGAAGUUGACCUGGAGUCCCGAGGCGCGGCCGAAGAGUUGCAGGAUGCUCUUUAUCGCCUCGAUGUCGCUGUGCGAGGGGUGGUAGAAGAGGAUCACAUCGUCGGCGUAGAGCGAGACGACGGGAAGCGAGCGGCGGGGGUGAAGUUGCCGUAGGAUGCCGAGCUCGGUGGCGCGGUGCAGCAGGCGUCCCAGGGUGUCGAUCACGAGGACGAAGAGUUGGGGCGACAGGGGGUCGCCUUGCCUCAGGCCGCGACGGUGCCAGAUUGCAGGGCCGGGCGCGCCAUUCAGUAGCACCUUGGUGUUGGCUGUGGAGAGGAGGAUCGCUAACCAGCCCAGGAAGCGGUUGCCGAAGCCCUAUUGGCGCAGGACCUCGAAGAGGAACGCCCGGCUGAUCGAGUCGAAGGCCCGCGCCAGGUCCAGUUUCAGGAGCACGCGCGGGGCUCCGAGCUGGUGCAGCAGGCGCGCAGAUUGCCGGACGAGGACGAAGUUGUCGUGCAAGCUGCGCCCAGGGAUGAAUGCGUUCUGGUUUGUGCUGACGAGGUCAUUGAGCUUGGGGGCGAGGUGAAGAGACGGGGCCUUAGCGAAGACCUUGGCCACGAGGUGGAUCAGGCUUAUGGGCCUGUUAUCGGCGAGGCCAGCAGCGUCUGCGCUUGGGAAGCAGUGUGAGGAGGGCCUGGUUCAUGGAGCUGAAACCGCGUCCCCUUAGCGCGUAUAGCUGCUGGAAGACGUCGAGGAAGUCCUGUCGAACUGUGGGCCAGCAGGCGUGUAGGAACUCGGCGGUGUAACCAUCUGGGCCUGGCGCCUUGCGCCCCAGCAAGCGCUUGACCGCCUGCCAUAUCUCUUCCGCGCAGAAUGGCGCAUCCAGGUCAGCCAGGUCAGCCGGCGUGAUGAGGUCUGACAGGUCGAGGGUGCACUCUCGGUGUACUGUGGAGCCAAACAAGUCGUCGAAGUGCGCAAAGGCCACUGCUGCCAUGUCGCUCGGGCUGGUGACUGUGCCAUUGGUCACGCCGAGGCUGUGAAUCCGGUUCUUCUGCUUCCGGUAUGUGCAUUGGCGGUGGAAGAAGGAUGUGUUGGCGUCGCCGUCCUUGAGGAACGCGAUGCGUGCGCGCUGGCGGGCGAUGGAGCGCUCGAGGGAGGCGAGGCCAAGGUAGGACGCUUUGAUCUGUCGGCGCAGCCAAUCCUCAUGCGGGGAAAGCAUCCUGCUCUCCUGCGCAGUAUCGAGCUUGAGGAGGAUUUCUCUGGAAACUACAAGCUUCAGGCGCACAUUGCCCACGGUUUUGGAGCUCCAGCUCGUCAGCUUUCGUGCAGUGGCUUGCAUGCGAAGCAUGAGGCGUCGAAAGGGAUCAUCGUCGUGGACAGAGAGCCAGGCCUCCGCGACAGUGUCCUGGAAGCCAUCCAGACGUGUCCAGAAGUCCUCGAAGCGGAAGCGCCGAUGGGUUGGCGCAGCCGGGGAGCAGUCGAGCAGAAGAGGGUUGUGGUCGGAGACGACCGAGGCGAGGCAGCGCAGGUGGCACUCGCCGUGGAGCUCCUCCCAGUCGACAGUGCAUAGGAUUCGGUCCAGGUGAACAAGGGUCAGCGGCGAUUGCCCGUUCGACCAUGUGUAGCGGCGUCCAUUGAGGUAAACCUCUUUGAGCGCCAGGUCAUUGAGCACGCGACGGAAGCGGCCCAUCAUCCGGCGGUUGACGUUGCCAUUGUUCUUGUCUUCGUCCCGGUAGAUGAGGUUAAAGUCGCCACAUAGCAUCCACGGGCCAGGGCACUCGGUGCGGGCGUCAUGGAGCUCCUACAGGAAGGCGAUCUUGCCAGCGUCGUCUUGCGGGCCGUAGACGGCGGUGAUCCACCAGGGACUGCGAGCUCCGGCCGUGGUGGAAACUUUAGCAGAUAGUGUAUUGGCAGUGAAGGAGGGAUCAGAGAUGACCACCUCGCGGCUUUUCCAUGCCAGCAGGAUGCCGCCCCGGGUUCCAACCGCGGGGAGGUAGACGUAGUCAUCGAAUUCCGAGCCUACGGUCUCGAGGACAAUCGACAAACAGAUCAAUUCCAUCUUCGUUUCUUGAAAGCAAGCGAUGGAGGCAGUAGUGGUUACAAGCAGAGAUCUAAUGGCGAGGCGGCGGGCGCGCAUGUUCAGACCACGCACAUUCCAUACAAUAAUCUUGGUGCCGUAAUUCAUGGGACAAAGUAUCGACGGGAGGGCAGGCCGUAGGGCACGGCUAUGCCUCGAUCGGGCUGCCCACGAUCACCGUGGUGAUCGAUGCCAUUGAGGGAUCGGAGGGGAGCUCACGAUCAACCAACGCGGCUAUGGCGGCGAGGACGGUGGUGGGGAGCGGGGUGGCGAAGAGCCCGUCGUAGGCUUGCAUCUCGGCGUCGGUGAUCCUCUGAUUGAUCCCGACGAUACCCAGUGUGCGCAAGAUAUGGACUUGUGCUCGCCGCUCGGCCGUAGGGGGGCGGCAGCCUUGCAUGGCACAGAUGAUGCAGAACGCCCGCGGCGAGGGGUGGAGAAGCUGGGCGGGCGGCCACGCUGCCUCUUCCUUGGGGUUGGCAAAGCUGCGCAGAGCUGUCGGGAUGCUGCAGCCAGGAAGUCGCCGAGCGUCAGAGCCGUGAUGGGCCCGGUGCGCGGGCGGGAGCGGCGCAUGGUGAUGGGGGGCGAUGCGAAUCGUGCAGGGGAUCCCAGAGUGGGCCUUCCGCUGGUGAGGCCGGACUGUGGGUUGUCCAGCAGAGGCGGCGUGGUAGGCCUGGUGCUUGGGCCACUCUGGGUCACGGGCUUUGCCGUGGUGGGGCUACCAGCAUGCAUGCACGUCCCAGCGGAAGCAUCCAGAAGAUCCUCAUGAGGCGGGGUGCGAUCUGCAUCCGCCUUUUCCUGCGCUUCCUCCCUCGUGGGGCUGGUUGGUGCCGCAGGUUGGUCGUGGGUGGGCCAUGCCGCUGCAGGGGCUGAUGCAGGGGAGGCAGGGAAAGCGUCAUCUUGUCGGGUUGGCAGUCCUGCGUCGGGGCCCAGCGGCAGAGCUAGGGAUCCCACCAAAAGCGGCGGAACCGGCUGGGCAGGAGGGGCUGGCGCGUCGCGACGUGGUGACUCGUCGUGCGCCACGGCCGCCUCGUGCAGCCGUUGGUGCGAAUCUGCGCUGGGGUCCUGGCCAAUGACGGAGCCUAGCGAGCAAUCCUGGCCCGCAGGUGUCAUGAGGGUGGGCUCCACCACUGCGGCUUCCGAUCCUGUCGGCCUGGGGAUCGCUGGCAGCAUCGGUUUGACCGCUUUAUCCAACGCUUUUGCAGGAGGUUGAUGUUGGCGGUUGGUACGGCGGGCCCCGCGUAGGCCAGGCCAUGGGUGGAUGAUGCGGAACGGCUGGGGCACCGCAGGGCGCGCGGCCGUACGCCGGGCAUCACUGGCGGGGGUCCAGCCAGCCACCACGGCGAUGUUGUCGGCACGCUGCGGGCGCGGGUUGCGCCGCCAGGGUAGAUCGUCCAUUUGCAUGCCGUCGGCGCGGUCGGCAGGGGUGGAGCCGGUGCGACGUCUCUUUCGGCCGCGGCGGCGCUGGCGGGCGCGCCUGGCGAGGUCGUCGUCGCGGCGCUCGUGGUCACCACCCCGGCCGCCAUCGGGGUCAUCCACCGGGGCGGCGCUGCAUGGCGCCGGUGCGUCGAGCUCGGCGCGAGCGAGCGUGACGGACACGGGGUACGAGAGGGUGGAGAUGGCCGGGGCGUCCGACUGGUGGCGCGAGGGGUGCAUCUCGACGAUCUCCAGGAUGGCGUGGCGGCGAAUGUUUGCCGGGUCCGCGGUGCGCGCCGACAGCCGAAACGUGGCGAGAUCAGCGUGGGAGCGCGUUCUCGGGUGAAGCCUCUCGAUCCAACAGCUGCUGCCGAGGAUGUGCUCCGCCGUGGAUAGGUGCUAGGCGUGGGCGGGGAUCCCGCGAAGCUCAAGCUCAACGCGGUAUGUCAACCUGCCGGAGCCAGCGUGUGCAAGCUUGCACCAUGGGCGCGGCGAGAGGGAGAAGCGGGGGCCGGAGAUGAAGUGGUCACCGGCGAGACGGUCCUUGAGCUCGCGGGAGGCGAGGACGAUGAGGAAGUCCUCCGGGAGGUGUAGGUGCACCGAGAAGUCGUCGGGGUGCAUGUCGAGGGAUGCGCACAGCAGCUCGGACACUUCUUCCGCGGAGACGACGGGCCGCGUCCCGGUGAUGGUUGCCACCAUGGCUCGGCGUAGGACGCCCGCCGUUUCCUCCAUCUCGACGGAGCGGGCGAGGAUCACCCGCACCGGAGUGGACGAGGUCUCGGGGCGGUCCGGGGCCUCCAUGGGGGUGGGCAGCGGCGGUGUGGUGGUCGCCAAGGUGCGCAGCGGCGCCGGCAGCGCGGCCCUAGUCGCAGGCGGCGCGUGUAGUGCGCGGGCCACCACGGCGCGCGGCCUCACCGACGGUGUGGUCCUUGUCACGGGUGCACGCGGGGAGUGGUCGCGGGCGCCGGAGUGGCGGCGUCCAGGGCACUCCCUUGAUUCAUGUCCCGACACGAGGCAGCGGCAACAGCGCACGUCGCCCGUGCUGUCGCGCACCCUGUGGCGCGAGUCCAGGCAGCGGAAGCAGAGACCCGCUGCCUCCUCGGCCGAUGGGCUGCGGGGGCGAGGAGGGUCCUGCGCAGCGGCACGGCGGGAGUGGCGGCGGCGGUCCUUGCGUCGAGGGAGCUCAAAGCCCUCCUGGUCGAUCUCGGGCGCAGCUCCAGCGCGCAUCUCCCGGUGCACCUCCGAGCGCGGUCCAAGGCGGGUUGUGGCCGGCACCCGACGCACACCAGCCGCCGGGAGGGCGGGUGGGUCGGCACGGGGCGGCGUGGCAGCCGGUAGACGCGUCGUCGGAGCCGGGGCGCACGGGGAGGCGGCGACGUCGCUGUAGGAGCGCGCGGGGGACGAGCCGUCGAGGGAGACCCGCCAGCGGCGCGCAUGGUCGGAGGAGCUCGCCNNNNNNNNNNNNNNNNNNNNNNNNNNNNNNNNNNNNNNNNNNNNNNNNNNNNNNNNNNNNNNNNNNNNNNNNNNNNNNNNNNNNNNNNNNNNNNNNNNNNAGGCAAGGCUCCCCCUCUCCCACCUAUAUAUACGGAGGUUUUAGGGCUGAUUUGAGACGACUUUUCCACGGCAGCCCGACCACAUACCUCCACGUUUUUUCCUCUAGAUCGCGUUUCUGCGGAGCUCGGGCGGAGCCCUGCUGAGACAAGAUCAUCACCAACCUCCGGAGCGCCGUCAUGCUGCCGGAGAACUCUUCUACCUCUCCGUCUCUCUUGCUGGAUCAAGAAGGCCGAGAUCAUCGUCGAGCUGUACGUGUGCUGAACGCGGAGGUGCCGUCCGUUCGGCACUAGAUCGUGGGACUGAUCGCGGGACUGUUCGCGGGGCGGAUCGAGGGACGUGAGGACGUUCCACUACAUCAACCGCGUUCACUAACACUUCUGCUGUACGGUCUACAAGGGUACGUAGAUCACAUAUCCCCUCUCGUAGAUGGACAUCACCAUGAUAGGUCUUCGUGCGCGUAGGAAAAUUUUUGUUUCCCAUGCGACGUUCCCCAACACUUCUUUCGCAUCGUGGUGGCGAGACCUUCCUCCGCUUCUGGGCAGAGCUCGAUUUGGGGGAGAGGAGUGGAGGAAGAGGAUGGGGAUUCGCCGCCGCCACCGCUCAGAUCGGGAGAGAAAAAGGAUAAGGUAGAGGGGGGUAGAGAUAUUAGGGUAGGCUGUGGGGACGAGGGCCAGAAAAAAUUUGGAUGGGCUUCGCGUGUUUAGUUUCAUAGGCACGCGCGCGCGGGUAUUUUGGCCGGCCCAAUUGGCUACCCACAGUCAGAUAGAUGGAUAUGUGCGGCGAGGCAGGGGAGUUCGUGGAUGGAUGGAUGGAUAUGUGGGUUGGAUAGCUGGAUGGAUGGAUAGAUACAUGCCACAUCAUCGAUCCGUGGUACAAACGUUUCCACCAAUAGGAAUCCAGCUCAUGUAAUUGUGUUUUCCUAUUUUUUUUAUAACUUCUAAUUUUUUUCUACCCUCUUGGAUUGACGAAUGAGGGAAUCGCGGCUUUUUUGACGUUUUAAUUAUGUUUGGCCCGUGACAUAUAAUGGACCCACGAGUGACAUGUCAACAUAGUUAGAACAUGUUACGACAUUUUUAUAAUCAUCGUAAAAGUUAUGACGAUCUCAUCUUAUGCGGUUACGAUGUUUUUGACUCACAUCAUCGUAAUUUAUAUGUAGAUUUGAUCCCCUCAAACGGCUUACGACAAUCUCGGACGAAAUCAUCACAGAUUUAUGACGAAUUCAUCAACGACGUCUUAAAAACAUCAUGUAUUAGCAUAUUUCUUGUAGUGUCAUCUUGCGGAAAGCUUCACCCAGGCUCGAAGAGACAGACGGAGGCUUCAAGACCCAAGGCUUACCUGCACAGCCACAAGUCAUUAUGGGGUUUGGCUUGGUUGGACAAUGCGUCGACUCUGGACAGGCGGUGCUAGCACAUGUAGAAGAACGGUAGGAAUGGAUGGGCACCGACAGGGAUUCAGAGGGACCCAUUGAAAGACCAUGUUUUGAUCAUCCGGUCUUCAAACACCCUGAAGUGCAAGGACAUACUCGGAGGCGAUCAAAUCUUGUGGGGAACGUGUGCAAAACUCUGCAGAGUACUCAAACCUAAUCGAUUAGCCGUGUCCACGACCAUGGACAACUUGAGCCAAAGGAACUGAAGUUAUCUGGAAUUCUCAACACCAUUUAUAUAUAUUUGAUGUGGGUAAUAUUGAUAACCUGGGUAUGAGAACUGGUUGGCGGAACCAUCUCAUUAACAACCAACAGCGUAGUAAUAUUUUGCUUUUAGCCCCUCUUGUUGUAGGAGAAAAUUUGCUUUACGCCAAAACUUACAACACCACCUGCCAUAUAUGCAUAUAGUAUAGAUGAUAUUUUACCCCCUCUCAUAUGUGACUUGCCGGCAUAUUUAAUAUGCUGACCUACACGGCUGCAACGUCUUAUGUUGCAGAUAUUUUUCUUCGACGAGUAAGAGUACGAUUCAGGGUUACGGUCUACACUCAACUUGCCGUUGGUUUUUAUUGGGACUCCACUCCCUUGUCUGCUUCCGCUGAGAUAUUUAAGGUAUAUAUCAGUUUUACGCUAUUUCCAUGUGAUUGCACUUUGAUAUAUACAUUGAAGUACUGUGUGUGCCAGCAUACUGAUCCAGGGAUGGCAUAGAUACAUAGAGGCUUGACUCGUUUUGAGUCGGGUCGCUACAGAAAUGGUAUCAGAGCACAUGUUGACUGUAGGACGUGACCCUAGAAACUAGAAAUUUCUUAGGAAAGGAUCUCUCUAAAAUUUUAUUUCCAAGAACAUUCUUUACCUCUCAUCUCUUCUGAUUUCAUCAAACGUUCUCUCUCACCUCAAAUAGUUAGACAAUGCCCUUUCCCUUUGACCACAUGAAGGAUCAACCGACUCCCACUUCAAAGUAAAGAGGAUUUCAUCAUGCAUUUGAAGCAUUGAAGCUGCGUCAAUUGAAGACUCUGAAGACCCGAAGAAUUCGAAGACCCUGAAGCGUUCGAAUAUUUAUAUGACCAUUAGAAGUCCAAAUCCCCGUUAUAUACCCACAUUAGAUACGAUGAUUGGUGUGUGUUUUCCGAUAGCCACAAAUAAAACUUAUUCUCAAAAAUAUUGUUUGUAUCGUGUGCAACUCCCUCUCUAUCUUACCUGUCUCAUCCCAAAAACCUAGGACCCAAUAGAUGGCGUAUGAAGAUGGACUUGUAAUCUCUGGACCAAUGACCCAGCUGGAGGCUGAUAUAUGGAUUCAGAACAUGGAGAACCACUUCGGGAGCAAUUUGAUCUCAAGGAAGUAUGAAGUGGAACACGCUCUUCAGUACUUUACCCAAGGUGCUGCUAUCUGGUGGAAAAUGCAUCAUGCCAUACAAGGAUUUAGUGGAGCAGAAACUUGGGACGAAUUCAAGAAGACUAUGUUAAGAUCCCGUCUCAUUCGGAAGUGCUAUGAUAAUCCGAAGGAGAAGACUUGUGUAUGCAAGAUCUGUGGAGAAAUAGGACACACCCAGGAAGAACACAAGGAUGGAUGCACUCAUUGUGAAGAAAAUCAGCCAGCUGAGGAGUGCCGAAAUAGUCAGGUGACUUGUUUCCUUUGUGAAGGAACCACCCACUACCCAGCUCAAUGUCACAUUUACCCCAAGGUGCAACAGGUUGUCAAGCAGCAGAAAGAUGCAAUGAAGGAAACACUCAAGAAGAAGAUUCUAGAAGAGUCGGUGAUGAACGAAAAUAUUGAAGACCCUGAUGGACAAGGUCUGACUAGAUUUUACUCCAAUGCAUGCUACUCAUGUGGAGAAGAAGGACAUUAUUCACAGGAUUGCACAAAGGGAAGCCAAGAGUAUCUGGGAAACUUCCCGACGGAAAAAGUGGAGUUUGAUCCACUUGAAAUAAAAGAACUGGCCAAAAUAAAGGAGUCCGGAAAGAAGAAAAAAGGUACCCUCGUAAGAGCCAAAUCUCUGCAGAUAUAGACCUGAGUCAUGUCAGAUGUUACAAGUGUAUGGAAUUUGGCCACCACAAAUACAUGUGCUCAGGAAGGAAGCCGGAAACCCAAGGAGCAAAAGCAAACACUAAGACGUCUCGAGACUUGUCAGAACUCAUUUGCUUUCAUUGCAAGGAAGCAGGACAUUUUGCUAACGAUUGUCCACAAUGGAAGAAAGCUAAAAAAGGAGUAGUUAAGUUUUGACCGCGGCAAUUAGUGUAAUCUGAAGAACUCUUGUUUUUCAUGAGAUCAUGGAGUGAAAUUUUUGUAACAGAAGUCCGUGAGAUUGUAAUAACUUCAUGAAUCAAUGGAAUUUAUUGUCUCAUGAUUGCCUAUGUUGAAACUAAUGCGUUGUUUUCUCUACGAACAAAGAUCUCUGAACAUUUAUGAGGAUAUGAGAAAAUAUGGUCUAUGCAGGCAUGAGUAUAAUUCGUUUUAAGUGUGGUAUUAAUCGGUAAACCCAUAGGAUCCACUGAGUACGAAUGUACCAUAACUACCAAGGAGACAUAUACAUUCCUCUGAGUACCUAUUUACUGACACCUGCAGAUGACAACUCUCUACGAGUCAUUCCUCAAGGGCCUAGAAAUGAUCAUGACCCUGACCAGUGAUCAUGAUUACCCGAAAAUCCUGAAGGACAUGAUGAAGCACAUUCAUCUUGAAGGAGAUGCAGUCUACAAAGGCUACCCAUUCAUGGAGAAUGGAGUGGAACUUUGGUAUGUGGAAGUACAUCUCCACCGUGUGAAUGGAGUUUGUCCAAAGACUAUGGGGCAAUACUUUUUCAUUUCACGUGUACCACGAGCAACCUUCUUUGAUGCUGUUCGUGAAGCUGCCAUGGAAGCCAUACGUCAGAUUGGAGAAAUACUUGAAGCAAGACUCCGUCAUACCUAGGAAUACCUGGGUGAAGUGCAUGCGGAGAUGAUGGAGAUGAAGCUAAUGGCCACCAUGAUGAAGCAGAAGAUGGAUGAUUUCAAGGAGCACCUCGGAAAGUUCCAGUGGGACUAAAAUAUCUCCAAGGGAGACGAAUGAAUAAUGUUGGCAGAAAUGCUCGACCAUACCGAACAAUGUGGAUGGCAGCAUUGUAAUAGAGUACUUUUGAAUUGGAGUUUUUGAGAAGAAAUUAAGGAUGUAAUAAAGGAUUGAAUAUGAAAUAAAAUAUGAAUUAUUGAUGAGCAAUAUCUUCUUAUGGUAUCCCAUGGAGUGGAGUAUUUACCAAAAAUAAGUCUGAGGAUUAUUAUUAUAUGAUGGUUACCCCAAGAGUAUGAUGGAAUGAAACAUUAUGGAAUUUAAAGGCAGAGUAAUUCCAAGUAUGCCUGAAACCCACAGACCCCGGGACUAACAAGGAUCAAGUACUAUCUUUUGGAGAAAGAAACUUGUAUCAGCAACAUUUCCCUAGGAGCAUACGAAAACCUGAGAGUUGUGAAGUUACGAUAGAUGUUUUGUUCAGCUUGCAGAAUCAUUGGAUUUAUCCGAACUUUGUUCGUGUACAAGAGAAAUUCUGCAACGUUUGUGAGGAUGCCCAAGUGUUAGAAUACGAGAUUCACUAAGACUUAUACAAGGUAAUGAUUUCAGUGCGACAUGGCUUGGCCACCAUGACGACUUACUAUUAUCAUUCUCUUGCUAUUCGGAAUGGUAAAUCUGAGAGACUUACCCAUAGUGAGAGACGGCGUUCUUUGAAGCUUUUAUUUAAGACUUAGAAUGGUAUAAGAAAAACCCAUGUACAUGGCAGUUGUUGUCACGCGUAGGAAAUUUUACGGUGAGGAUGAAGACAAGACCCCUCUCUCUGUAGGAUAACCACAAAUGGUAGACCACCAUGAGAAUCAUCGAUAGGUUAUUUAGAAUUGACCACGAGACUGUCAGUUAAGAAGACCCAGUAACGGAAGAAGCUUAUAUCAACAGAAGAACCCUCGAUUUUGAUGGGAACGUUAUGAGUAUAAUGUAAGAGAAUCACCAGAGGAGUUAGUAUGAAGACUGUGAGGAGUCAGAUGCCAAAACCCGAGAGGAUUUCUAAAAUUCUGAGGGACCAGUAGCUCUCAUUUUAAGUGUGGUAGCAUCCCACUUUGCCGGAGGUUGGAUUUGUUAGAAGACCCCAAAACCCUAACCUUUUCUUUCUAGCCUUUGGAAUCUUGAGGACGAGAUUCAUUUUAAGUGUGGUAGGUUUGUAACAUCACAAAUUUUGGAAUGUUAAAAAUAAUUAUUAGAUUGUUUGUUUGUUUGAUUGAGUGAUUUAAACUUGAGUGGAGUUUGAAACUUUUCGAAAACUUUUGAAUGAGAGGGAAUAAAAUGACUUUCCCCUUCUCCGGCGAAUGCAAAUUCAUCCAUUUUAAAAUCAAUGAGAGAAGAUGACAUGACUUCUUCAACUAUAAAGAAUUUGAAUGUAGUUUGCAUUUGAAUUCUUCAAGUAUUUGCUUUUGCUUUUCUAUUUUUUUCUUCCCCGAGAAAAUACCCCAAAGAUAAUUCUUGCACGCAAGAAAGAGCGGAGGAAAAUGACCCUCCCAAGCCAGGGGUGUUUUUGAAAAUCUUCGAGCCAAGAAAAACCAAGUUUAUGGAGAAAAUAAUUGCAAAAAGAAAUAAAGCCCUUAGGGAUUUUCUGAAAAAUUAUUUUUUUUAAAGUUUUUAUUUUUGCCUUGGAAAAAUGUUAAUCGUGUAGAGAUUUUUUUCUGAAAAUUUUGGUAUAUAAUACCCGAUAUUAAUUAUUUUAUUUUGUUUCCUUUUAAUUCCUUUUAGUUUCUGUUUUUUGAAAAAGAUCAAAAUCGGGAAAGGAAUUUUUAAAGUAGGAAAGCGCCCUGGGCGCGAUUUAGCUCGGCCCAGAUCCCCCCUGGCCCGGGAUCCCUCCCUCCUUUCCUUUUCGGUCAACCGACCGAGCCACCUCCCGCCCCCUCGCUGCCACCUGGGCCCCGCCCGUCCGACCGCCCCUCCCUCGGUCACCCCCUCCCCUGUGCUCCCUCUCCUUCCUUCCCCGCGCCUGAUAGCCCCGAGCUCGCCGGAGAUGCCGCCCCUUGCCCGAUCUCCUUCCCUCUAGCACCGCCCCACCCCCUAUAAAACCCGACCGCCCCGAGCUCCCCCGGCCCCCGUUCCCCUAGUCGCCGCCUCCUACCCAAGCCCCGCCGCCCUCUGCCCGAGCUCGUCGGAGCCGAGCUCCGCCCGAACCCCGGUGCCCUGCUGCUCCUUCCCCGGCCCUCGAACCCCCUCUCCGCCGCCCCCAACCGACGCGGGAGACCCGCCACCGUCUCCUCCAACCCUCGGGCGUCGCCGGAGACCACCGGAGCCCCUCCCCAUCGCCAGCUCCGCCUCGGCCUCGCCGGCGACCUCGCCGGAGCACCACCACCUCUCUGGGAGCUCCCCCUCCCGUUAAUAACCGUCCGAUCUAGAUCUUACGUGCACGAUUAGAAGUAGGAUAACCCUUCGGUUUUUAAACAAAAACCGAACGGUUUUCUUCACUUAUUAUUUAGCCGGGAAGGCUUUGUUUAGUUUGCGACCGUUCGCUAGUUAGCCUCAGCAACUCACACCCCCGAGCCAACCACAACGCGCCACGUGGACCCCCUAUUCACAAAUUAGAUUUUUCUAUUUUUAGUUUUAGUUCAAAAACAGAGGCAGAUUCAAUUUCCUUUUGCUCAUAACUUUUGAUCCACAACUCCAAUGGAGUUGAAACUUGUUCGAGUAGAUCACAAUUUUUCUGUAGUUUUCAAAAACAUAUUAGUUGUCUAGGUUUGAAAUUUUCAAAUUUGAAUUAGAUCAGAUUUAGUUUAAACCUUGUUUUGCUUAUUCUAGGAGUUUUUAAAAUAGAUUUUUAAUUAAUUCUUUUUGCUACUGAUCACUAGUGAUAUUAUUUAUCAGUGGCAAAAAUUUCAGAAUGUUUUGAGUAUUUGAGCUCAUUAUUUCUUGUGAAACACUUUCUGUUUCACUUCUUUUUAGGAUUAUGACUAUAUUUCUUUCUUUAGUUGUUUUUAAAUUAUUUUUUUCUUUUAUAUUUCAGAAAUAUUAGGUCUUGUUUCUGUUAGUUAAAAGUAGGUUUGCAACAAACUUUUAUUUUAUUUUUAUACGUUAUCAUGAAAUCAAUUCUAGUUCUCUAAUAACUUGCAAUUGGUUUCUUUAUUGUUUCAAAUCCCGUUUGGAAAUACUUUCAAAUAGUUUUGUGAAAAAAUACUUUAUUUUAUCUUAGUUAAAUUUAUAUCUUAGUUCCCUGUUAUUUAAGUAUUUUAUUUUCUGUUAGACAAAAACUACUUAGUGUUUGAUGUAGUAGAAGACUCCCUAGUCUUAUUUGAAGUUUCCUUCGGAUUCUUAUUCGCUCUCUCUUUUGUUUUGAUUGCUAGAAUGGUUGCUAGUAUGAGUGCUUACGUGAAUGAUAUGGUUGUUAUAUAGAUUUCAUCGGAGAGUGACGAGUAGUCUAUCAAGUUAUUCAUCGAGAACGAAAAUUCUUCUUCGUCAACAUCACCAGGCAAGUCAUUUUGAUCAUACUAUUCGCCUAUGUUUUCUAUGCAUGGUAGUUUCACCUUUCUUUGCCCAAUUGCAUGUUGAGUAGGUACUUGGAAAUUAUAGUUAUAGGUUGUAGUAUCAUGUGGUAGGCACACAACAACCCCGAUACUUGCCCCGGGACGACAAAUUUCAUAUUGCUAUGCUUGAGUAGACGGGGUUCUGGUUGAGUGCAUAACACGAGUGAUGCGAGGAUAAUUAAAUAACCAAGACCGGUUAAGUCAAGAUUUUCAAGACCUCGUGAAGCAAUGCAACUCUGGGUGAAGGACGGUUUGACGGGCUCCCUGGAGAAACCAGUGGACGACCCCGGGAUGCUUGGAGACGUGCCAUGUCACACUACAAGGAAUAUGCUAAUACAUGACGCUAUUUUUUUCGUCGCUACAUCGUCACGGUUUUUAGUUUACGACGAUCUCACGACGAAAAACCAAACGUCAAAAACGGAGCGUCAGAAAUGAACAGCAGCGACGUUUUGAUCAAAAAUCAUCGUAACCUUUACGACGAUUCCACGAUCGUUGUAACCUUUACGACGAUCCUAGAUCGUCGUUGGCAAUCCAACCCAGUCCUACGUGGCAGUCUUACGAUGAAAUCAAAACGUCAUGGUUGAAAUCAGCCCAACCCAUUUCAAUUGAUCACAUGGGCUCGUUUUAUUUUUUUGGGCUUUUCGUAUUAGGCUUCUUUUUGGGCCUUGGCCUAUUUACAGCCACUUUCGUUUUUUUUCAAUUUUUUUUAUCUAUUCUAAUUUGGGCCUUGACCUUUUCAUGCCCAAAUACAUUUGAUCCAGUUUCAGUUUUGGCCUUUUUUCAUUUUUUGAAUUCAGCAACUUUUUUGUUCCAAAACUUGGUUUCAUUUCUAUUUGUUGGGCCUUUUCAACCCAAUUAUUUGUCCAGUAUUAAAUCCAACACUAUUUCAUAUUUAAAUCAAGAAAGCUUCAAGUCGAAUUAAAAUCAAGCAUCAUAUAACAUCACAUAAUACAUCUCCCAGGUUUACAUAACACAAUAACUCNNNNNNNNNNNNNNNNNNNNNNNNNNNNNNNNNNNNNNNNNNNNNNNNNNNNNNNNNNNNNNNNNNNNNNNNNNNNNNNNNNNNNNNNNNNNNNNNNNNNCUAGAGCAAAGUUAUCUAGCUCAAAAGAUAUAAGUGAAGCACAUGCGAGCUAAAUUGCCUAAACUCAAAAGAUAUAAGUGAAGCUCAAUGAGUAUUCUAGAAAAUUCACGAUGAGUGCAUGUCUCUCUCAAAAAAGGUGUGCAGCAAGGAUUAUUGCGACACAACAAAAAGAAAAUACUCCUAUAAUACACGACGCUCCAAGCAAAACACAUAUCAUGUGGUGAAUAAAAAUAUAGCUCCAAGUAACGUUACCGAUGGAUUGAAGACGAAAGAGGGGAUGCCUUCCGGGGAAUCCCCAAGCUUAGGCUUUUUGGUGUCCUUGAAUUUGGCUUGGGAUGCCUUGGGCAUCCCCAAGCUUGAGCUCUUUCCACUCUUUAUCCCAUUGUCCAUGAGAACAUCACCCAAAACUUGAAAACUUCAUAACACAAAACUUAAACAGAAACUCGUGAUAUCAUUAGCACAAGAAAACAAACUACCAACUCUUUAGGUACUGUAGCAAACUUGAUUUCUAUUUAUAUUGGUGUUAGAUUACUGUAUUCUCACUUUUCUAUGGCUAGUACCCCCCGAUACUAUCCAUAGUUUCAUCAAAAUAAGCAANNNNNNNNNNNNNNNNNNNNNNNNNNNNNNNNNNNNNNNNNNNNNNNNNNNNNNNNNNNNNNNNNNNNNNNNNNNNNNNNNNNNNNNNNNNNNNNNNNNNUGAAAUUAGUUUGCUUCUGAGAUAUGAAGAAAUGAAACGUAUAACUAAGGACCUUCCAGAUUGGGCUGUCAUGAAAAUGCUUGAUUAUGAUCUAGAAGAAAUUUAUUUAUAUUGUGCGGUGAAUUGCAUGGAGAAUCCUUAUAUUGCCAAUUACCUAAAGGCAAGGAAACAAAUAGGAUAUAAAGAUAAGACUAACGAAGGGGAAGAGGUUUCCCAAUACCCUCCUAUUAUUUCUUAUGAUGAAUCAGGUAACGAGGAGGAGCCCUCUAUUCAACCAACCUCUCGAAAAGGAAGCUUGGAAGAAUUAAGUAAAUCUUCAUAUGGGGUGAAGAAGAAGAAAAUAAGAAAAAGUAAGGUAAAGAGGUAUCUCUCCCAAAUGGUAUAAAUAUGGAGGAUGACAAUAAUUGCUAUACUCUUGGUGUUAUUCAUGCUAUUAAUGAUGAGAGUGAUUAUGUCUAUGAUUUGCAAAAAGCACAAGCUUGGGUAUGCCAUGUUUGAGAAUAUAUUUGCUACAAUUAAAUUUUGUCCCAAGCUUGGGGAUGCUUCGUUAAAUGAAGAUGAUCCUUUUAGUCCCCCCACUUUGAGUGAUCAAAUUUACUAUGAAUUUUGCAUGCCUCCUAUCUAUGAUGAUUAUUGCGAGGAUACUUAUGCUAUAAAGAAGAGGGAUGAUAAAAACUUGUCAUACUCUCGAGUACCCCUUUGCUAAACCUUGCUUUUUCAAUGUGGAAACUAUUUGUAGUGCUCAAGUCUUUUACGAUACUCCCACUACUAUUCUUGAGAAUAGAUUUCCUUAUGUGGAGAGUAGUAAAAAUUUCUAUGCUUGUAGAUCAUGAAAACAAAGAUUUAGGUGCUAGUUAUAUUGUUGAAUUCAUUCAUGAUGCUACUAAAAAAUUACUAUGAGAGAGGAUCAUAUGCUUCUACUUAUUGCAAUAGUAUCAAGCUUCCUCUCCAUAUGUUGAAAUUUUUUGAAGCUAUGCUUGUUUUGCCUUCCUAUGCUAAUUGAUUCUUGCUCCAAUGAAUUGUUUGAUCACAAAAUCCCUAUGCAUAGGAAGUGGGUUAGACUUAAAUGUGCUAGCCAUUUGCUCCAUGAUGCUCUCGUUGUGUUUCAAUCCUUACCUUUUAUGUGAGCAUCAUUGAAAUCAAUGCCUAGCUAAGGGCGUUAAACGAUAGCGCUUGUUGGGAGGCAACCCAAUGAAUAAAUUUUUCUUUGCUUUUUUGCUUCCUUUUUUGUUUUCUCCACACCAUCAUAAUUCUGUUAUGAUUGUGUAUUUUGUGUUUCUUUUUGUGUUUGUACCAAGCAAAACCGUUAUGAUUAGUCUUGGUGAUGAUUGUUUGAUCAUGCUGGAAAAAAGACAGAAACUUUCUGCUCACGAAAAAGAAUUUUUCAUUUUUAUUAUGUAAGAGCUUUUUGAGUUUAUUCAUUUUUUCUGUUGAUUUCUAUGCAAUUUAUUCAAACUGUAGUAAAGUUUCAGAUUUUUUUGAAGUACCAGAGGUAUACGAAAUAUACAGAUUGCUACAGACUGGUCUGCUGUUAACAGAUUCUGUUUUUUGUUGUAUUGGUUGCUUAUUUUGAUGAAACUAUGGAUAGUAUCGGAGGGUACUAGCCAUGGAAGAUUGAAAGUACAGUAACCCAAUAUCAGCAUUAGUAGAAUUUUAAGUUUGCUACAGUACCUAAGGAAGUGGUGGUUUGCUUUCUCAUACUAAUGUUAUCACGAGUUUCUAUUUAAGUUUCGUGUUGUGAAGUUUUCAAGUUUUGGGUGAAGUUCUUAUGGACAAAGAGAUAAAGACUGGCAAGAGCUCAAGCUUGGGGAUGCCCAAGGCACCCCAAGAGAUUCAAGGAUUCCGUAAAAAGCCUAAGCUUGGGGAUGCCCCGGGAAGGCAUCCCCUCUUUCGUCUUCAAUCCAUCGGUAACGUUACUUGGGGGCUAUAUUUUUAUUCACCACAUGUUAUGUGUUUUUUGCUUGGAGCGUCUUGUAUCGUAGGAGUCUUUUAUUUUUUUGUUGUUGUUUCACAAUCAUCCUUUCUGCACACCUAUAGAGAGAGACAUGCACUCACCGUGAUUUUGUCGAGCUUCACUUAUAUCUUUUGGUAGACAAUUCAGCUCACAUGUGCUUCACUUAUAUCUUUUGAGCUAGAUACUUUUGCUCUUUGUGCUUCACUUAUAUCUUUUAGAGCACAGCGGUGCGUGUCUUGGUAGUUGAUCUAUGCUUUGAAAGUAGUCUCAAAAGGGGKUAGUUAUCCAAAAGGGAUACGAGAACUUCCACCUUCAUGUGCAUUGAAUAGUUAGAGAAGUUUGAUUCAUCUGAAUUAGUUUUGAGUUGUGGUUAUGGUAAUAUUGAAGUUAUGCUAGUAAGGUGUCAUGGAUCUAGAAAUACUUGUGUUGAAGUUAGUGAUUCCCGUAGCAUGCACGUAUGGUGAACUUCUAUGUGAUGAAGUCUGAGCAUGAUUAGUCUAUUGAUUUUCAUCCUUUGCGUGGCGGUCGGGAUCGCUCGAUGGUUUAUACCUACCAACCCUUCCCCUAGUUGUAUGCGUUGAAUGCUUUGUUUCGAUUACUAAUGAAAACUUUUGCAACAAGUAUAUAAGUUCUUCAUGACUAAUGUUGAGUCCAUGGUUUAGAUGCACUCUCACCUUCCACCAUCACUAUCUUCUUAGUGCCGUGCAACUUUCGCCGGUGCAUAAACCCACCAUUAGCCUCCCUCUAAACAGCCACCAUACCUACCUACUAUGGAUUUUUCAAAGCCAUUCCGCGAUAUAUUGCCAUGCAACUACCACCAUGACAUGUGCCACCACUUCUACAUUGCCAUUGCAUGAUCAUAAGAUAGCUAGCAUGAUGUUUGCAUUUGAUGUCUAUGCCAUGCUAGAUCAUUGUCAUGGUACACUACCGAAGGCAUUCCAUAUAGAGUCAUCAUUGGUCUAAGUUUUGAGUUGUAAGUGUGAUGAUAAUCAUUGAUGGAGCAUUGUCCCAUGUGAGGAAAUAAAAGAGGCCAACGAAGCCCAUAUACAAAAAGAGGCCAAAGAUGCCCACCAAAAAAAAGAGGCCAAAGAGCCCACCAAAAAAAGAGAAAAAGAGAGAAGGGACAAUGCUACCACCUUUCCACACUUGUGCAUAUUAAGCACCAUGAUCUUCAUGAUUGAGAGUCUCUCGUUUUGUCACCACCAUAUAGCUAGUGGGAAAUUUUCAUUAUAUAACUUGGCUUGUAUAUUCCAAUGAUAGGCUUCCUCAAAAUUGCCUUAGGUCUUCAUGAGCAAGCAAGUUGGAUGCACACCCACUAGUUUUCUUUAAGAGUUUUCACAUAACCUUAGCUCUAGUGCAUCAUUUGUAUGGAAAUCCCUACUCAUUCACAUUGAUAUCUAUUGAUGAGCAUCUCCACAGCUUAUUGAUAUGCCUAGUUAAUGUGAUCAUCUUCUCCUUUUUUGUCUUGCAACCUCCACCACACUCCACACCACUUAUAGUGCUAAAACCAUGGCUCACGUUCAUGUAUUGCGUGAGAGUCGAAAAAGUUUGAGAAAGUAAUGGUGUGAAAACAAUUACUUGCAGGGCCGUCUUCAGAAAUUCAGGGGCCCAGGGCCAGGGCCGUCUUCAGAAAUUCAGGGGCCCAGGGCGAAAAUCAAAAUUGGGCCCAAAACUACGAAAACAAUCAUCUAACAAAAGAAAUUAAGUAUAUUGUAUACCUAACCUAAUAUGCACAAUAUACCUAACCUAAUAUGGCAGGGAUAAACUAAUAUGCACAAAACUGAACCUGGGACCUGGGUGAUCGGCUGAUCGCCGAUGACGGAAGCGCGGACGGCGGACUGCGGACGCGGAAGGCAGCGACAAACGACGUUUUCCGCGAGCGGACGAACGACGUCUUGGGCACGGCAGAGAUGAGACGACUGGUGAAAGCAAUGGAGUCAGGCGGCGUGUUAGGCUGUUAGCGAUCAAUAGAAAGAGACAUGCAGGCCUGGAGACAUAGUACGUGAUCAUGCAUUCAGGCGUGUACGUGAUAUCUCAUAUGCAGCAGGCCUCGUAGGCUGCCAGCUUUUUUGUUGUUGAACACUGCUUAGGCCUUGCUGAUGGAUUAAAUAGCUAAUUAUGAUUAUAACUACAUACAUAUAUAUUACUAAUACCUAGUAAUUUGGGGGCCCUAAAUUUUUUGGGGGCCCUGUGCGGUCGCCCAUCUUGGCCACCUCCAACGACGGGCCUGAUUACUUGGCCAAUACCGGGGUUGUGCAUGAUUUAAAUUCGUUGUGCAAUGAUGAUAGAGCAUAACCAGACUAUAUGCUUUUGUAGGGAUAACUUUCUUUUUGGCCUUGUUAUUUUGAAAGUUCAUGAUUACCUUGCUAGUUUGCUUGAAUUAUUAUUGUCUCCACAUCAAUAGCAAACUAUUGUUUUGAAUCCAAAGGAUCUGAACAUUCAUGUCACGUGAGAGAAGUUACAAAGGACAACUAUGCUAGGUAGCAUGCAACAUCAAAAUUCAUUCUUUAUCACUUCCCUACUCGAGGAGGAGCAUGAGUUAAGCUUGGGGAUGCNNNNNNNNNNNNNNNNNNNNNNNNNNNNNNNNNNNNNNNNNNNNNNNNNNNNNNNNNNNNNNNNNNNNNNNNNNNNNNNNNNNNNNNNNNNNNNNNNNNNGAAGGUCUCACCGUCCCAUCGAUUUGGAUGCAUGAAGCAGUCGAGCUCCACCCCGAAGUGGAGGAAAAGGUAUGUACGCGGUCGUCGAUCUGGGCGCAUCUAGCCAUGGAUGGCUCGCCCCUAUUUGACGGCUCCUCCGCACGAAGCUAAUUAGUAUGGUGCCCAUGGUCACCGAGGCAUGGACGCUCGCUCGAUGCGGCGGGGCGGCGGCGUCCAAGCCGGACGCGGUGGCGCAGGAGGUGCCCGCGCUGCUGCAUCCUGUCGCCAAGAAACCCAUCUCGUUGAGAGGGGUGGCCGCGGCGAGUAGCGCAUGCCAGGACGCCGAUGUCGUCGUCGGGAGGUGCAACCGGCAUCACGUCGUGCCUGCUAGCCGCGCUCGCGCUCGCCGGUGCCUCCUCCUUCGGCCCACUCCUCACCUCCCUCCUCAAGAAACAGAACAACAUGACGCAGGUCCGUCCCUCCUCUCCCUCCCUCCCAAAUUCCCUUUUUAUCCGGCGGUUCCCUUGCUUCUGUUGCGCUCAGCGCGAUUCUGGUGGACGUGCAGAUGCUGCAGCACACGGUGAUCCCGGAGCGGCCCAUGUUCUACCCGGAGUACCCGCUGCAGGGUACCUUCUCUCUUCUCUGCUCCUAUCCUCUGUCUCUGCCCGUUCCUUUGAAAUUGUCACCGGUCGUUGUUCAGCUCCACAAGCAAGAAGGCAAUCAGACACGACAAACGCUAAUUGACAUUUUAUAAUAUAAGCGUUCCACUGUGCUUCUUUUGAUUCAGUCAAGUUCAGCUGGAACUCUCGCCGGAAGAAAAAAAGCUCUGCUCCUCGCACUGAAAAAGGCACAGAAACAUAAAUGUUUGCUCAAUUCAGUUGUUAAGAUGUCGACUAAAAAUUUUGCCAGAUUUCCCCUGAAAAUGACAACCUGCUAAAGUCAGUUAUUCAGAUGUCGCAAUUUCGAAGUACAACACCCCUGUUUUUGGGCCUCUUAGAUCUCUUUUCACUGGAAAUAGCAAGGAAAUUUCCUACUUCAUAUUUUUUUUUCAUGUCAAAGUUGUAUGUACAAGGUGAACAGAAAGUUAUACUGUUGUUAAUUGCUGUUGCUCCUAACUCGCCAGAGCCGGAGCAAGGGGUGGUGACGCUGGAGGAAGACAGGGACCCUGUGGAGAGAGUUGAGGAAGCACUGCAGUGCCUCGCUCAAGAUCUACUUUGAGAGCAUCCUCGACACUAGCAGCAAGAAACCUCCUCCUCAACGCGUCCUUCCCCGACGAGCCCUCUUUACCAGAGGAGGUGGAGGAGCAUGCCACCAUCCCUCUUCGCACCUGCCUCCUCUCUCCUCUAGCGCAUGGAGGGGAUAACUGAUGGCUACUUCCCCCUCCCCUCCUAGCCUUGCGGGCAUACGUGGUGAGCUACCCCUCUUUCCCCUCUCUACCCCUAGAUCAGCACUUGCAAUUAAUUGUACAUACAUAUGAAUGACUACACAUCACAUUUUGGUUCAGCUUUUACGUGCAUGGUUAAACUUUGACUAAAAACGAAGCACCCCUUUUGGAUUUCUAUUU